rnacentral:lncRNA from 1 species
UUCUGAAUUUAUCUGAUUGGGCGUCUGCUCCGGGCUGUGUUCGGCAUGACCUGGUUUGUCCUGCUCCAUCGCUGGGUCCCUAUGGCCGUUGUUGCCUUCGGAAUCAACUGGAGUGUCAUCCUGCUUUGGGUUGUUAUCGCUAUUUUUACUGUGACUGGACCUGAGGCGGUGCUUACGCCGUCGUUUUUGCUUUGGCCCGGGGGGUUUAUCCUUCGUUGUGUCCUUUUUGUCACCAUUAUCUUUUUUGGGGGUGUCCACCAUGUAGACGUCGUAUGAUAAAGUGGCUGUCCAGCGCUCCGUGGGCGGUGGUUCCAGAUCGUCCCCCACAUCGACGUCCAUACUGUCGAUGUUAUUGGGGUCGGAGUCAAGCAUGUCUGUUAGGUCAUCGACAGUGGCUAUAAAGUGGGUGGUGGCUUGGUUGCAAUUUUCUUCAUCUUCCAUAUCCCACACGGACCGGACAUAGUUCGGCCAGGAGUCUUCUGACAGAGAGAGAGAGACCUUAAUGAAUUUAGCACGUCUCCGAAGGGUGAGUGCUGAAAGAUAUCUGCAGUGACGAAUUCCAUAACCGGGGCCCAGCUAGAUUCGAUGGGCUUGGAUGCACGUGGUCCGGAACACACGACCGGAGGCAAGUCCGGGGGUCCGGAGAUACAGAUCCCUUUAGGAGAGGAGUCUGUGUUCGGCUCUAAAGCCGAUGAUUUUGCGGCCUUCAGGGAGGGGUCCAUCCACCCGUCCUCAGAAGGCAUGGCCUGCUCUGGAGCAAAGUCUGGAGCUGUGGCAGGUGCGAUGUCCCGAAUAUUGUCCGACUGCAGAUCUAGGUCAUGCUCGUCGUGAUUGUUUGGCGCUCCUGACACGGGUCCGAAUCCGUCGAAUAUCAAGUCUCCACGGAUGUCGGCAGUGUAGUUUAGGUUUCCAAACCUAGCCUGAUGGCCGGCGGCAUAGCUAUCGAUCUGCUCCAGAUGGCCAAGUGAGUUGGCCCGCAGUGCGAAGCCACCGAACAUGAAGAUCUAUUCAGGGAGAAAAGUCUCACCCGGGGCAGGGUGGUUGAAGGUUGGAGAAGCCAUCUAGCCUUGCAGUGACGACAGAGAGGAACUCUAAAUGAAAGCACCAAUGUCGGUGUCAAAACCGGCGGAUCUCGGGUAGGGGGUUCCAAACUAUGCGUCUAAGACUAAUGGUAACAGGAGGCUAGGGACACGAUGUUUACCCAGGUUCGGGCCCUCUCGAUGGAGGUAAAACCCUACUUCCUACUUGAUUGAUCUUAAUGAUAUGAGUAUUACAAGAGUUGAUCUACCACGAGAUCAGAGAGGCUAAACCCUAGAAGCUAGCCUAUGGUAUGAUUGUUGUUGUGUCCUAUGGACUAAACCCUCCGGUUUAUAUAGACCCCGGAGGGGGCUAGGGUUACACAGAGUCGGUUUACAGAGGAGUAGAUCUACAUCCGAAUCGCCAAGCUUGCCUUCCAUGCCAAGGAGAGUCCCAUCCGGACACGGGACAAACUUUUCUGUCUUGUGUCUUCAUAGUCCAACAGUCCGGCCAAAGUAUAUAGUCCGGCUGUCCGGAUGCCUCCUUAUACAGGACUCCCUCACCUCCCUCACUCUAAUUAAUUUAUUUUGAAGUAACAUAUCAAAAAUUCUAUCACACUUGCUUACAUCAAAAGUAUAUUUAAUUUCGUCUCUUCUAGUAGGUGUAGGUUUCAAAGCAGAACAUGCAAAAGGUUUUGACUUUGGCGCUUGAACCCAUUCGGCUACACAUAUAUUAACAUCAUCCUCACUAGUCGAAUCACUAUCAUAGUCUAAGGCAUUAACCACAUGAUUAUCUUUCUCUUUAUUUCUGUUAUCUUUAAACCGACUAUAUUGUUUAAUUUCCAUAGCCCGGUUUUCUUGCGUCAAAGCCUUCUGCAAAACUUUGUUAACAUCUAAAAAUUCUUGCCCUUCUAGUUUAUCCUUAAUAUGAGCGAAUAAACCCGAAAAGGCAAGAUUGGCUAAAACCUUUUCGGCUAUGGUCAAGCUGAAACAUCGGUUUUUGACAUCUCUANNNNNNNNNNNNNNNNNNNNNNNNNNNNNNNNNNNNNNNNNNNNNNNNNNNNNNNNNNNNNNNNNNNNNNNNNNNNNNNNNNNNNNNNNNNNNNNNNNNNAGCUAGUCGAGCUCCACAAGGCGGCCGAACAGGCCAUGAAGGGCCUCAUAGUUCGGCUGUGGCCUAAGGAGGCCAUGUCUGGGAGCUACUUCGGCCUGGUGCAGCGCCUGGUGGAUGCGUGCCCGUGGGUUGAAGUCAUCAAGCACUCCGCUUGCAUUGAGGGUGCCCGUCGGGCCCUUGCCCGCGCAAAGGUGCACUGGGGCAAGAUGGAUGCCCAGAAGCUCGUGACGGACCCGCCACCAGAGGGCAAGGAGCAUCGCACGCCUGAGAUGUAUUAUAAGAGUGUGCUGAAGGGCGCCUGCACUAUUGCGGGUGAGUGCUCCAAAGAUGUAAUAUUUGAGUAGAAUCGCAUUUUGUUAUCCUGUGCGCUGAAAACUUAGUUCAUAUGCGCUAAGCAACGCUUGUUCAUUUAAAAUAUUACCUUCUGUGCGGCUGUUUAUCAAAUCUGAGAGAUGGCAAGUCGUCGGCUUCAGCCCCCAUGCCACGAGUGCUGGGGUGUUCGGGAUAAACUUGAGCACUCUUGUUCCCAUUUUUGGGUCCAUCUAGGGAGGCGCUCAACACAACGAACAAGGCAACCGGACUUAUAAUGCUUGAACACUCUCACUUAGCCAUAGAAUUCUAUAAUUUUAAAUUUCGGCGAAGCCCCUAGUCUUCGGAAGGCCGAAUUUGGGGCGCUAUCCACGCCUGGGCCGAACAAAGUCCGGCUCCUCGCUCUAAGCGGCAUAAGUCUUUAAGGACUCGCAAAAAACCUCUCGAAUAGCAACCGGCUCUCGCCUCAUCAUGACGGUCAGUUUUAGCUUUCUCCACUGAGGCGUUAACCCAGCUCAAAUGGGGCGCAAUCGCAGUGGUUCUCCCAGUGCUACCUUAGCCGAUAUAACGGAACAUAAGGUACCAAAACAUGGGAGCCAGGCAAACCCAACUAUUGACCCAAGACAUGAUUCGGAGUCGAUGCAUAUAAUGCUAUAAGUUCGGGGUGCCGCACUUGUGAAAGUGUUCGGACUUAUCACACCAUGAUGCGGGAAACAUAAGCCCCUGGUGUAUUUUAACCGUAUCAAAGUGUACGGAUACAACAUGCCGUAAAUGAACAUAUGUAUAAAAAAGAAAUGCAAUUAUAAGCAAAAAGGUGCUGCAUUGUUUAUUCAAGAAAGACUGCUGUAAGUGCAGAACGAUACAAAUGGUGCGAUAAGCAAGGUAUGGGACUGUUAAACAUGUCCCCCUCCAGGGGUAGGCUGCCGAAUGGUGUGUAAAACAGAUUUAAUGCUCGUAAUGGAGACCACCUGGAUAUUCGUUGUAGCCUUUAUCCUUCCCUGGCUGUUGCAUCGUGAGUUCGGCAGGUCUGCUGCCGGACAGGUUCUCUGACGAACGGAGUCCUGUGGGGAAAAAAGAAAAAAGAAAAGAAAAAAGAACGACACUCUUGAGAGCCCCUCGUGUGGUUGAGCCGCAGUCUGGGCCUAUCGUGGUCGUGCCCCUCUCCCCAUGCCCAUGGUAUCUUCAGAGCAUAAUGGUGUACGCGAGGGACCUGUCUUGACGUUUUAUAGGGGCUAGGGUUGGGGCCGCACUGCUACGCGUGCUCGGAACGUGCCAGGUGGUCUUGUUGUAUGUUACUCCGGGCGCGCUUAGCUAUGUCCGGCCGUUUAACGGCCGGACUCGAGAAUUGCCUUAAGAGGCUGCAUUGUACUUCUGCCGCGAGAGCCACUGUAUGUUCCUCCGUUCGAAGAGAAUGUUCAGUGUUUCCGUUGACCGUGAUGACUCCUCGAGGGCCUGGCAUCUUGAGCUUGAGGUAUGCGUAGUGCGGCACCACGUUGAACUUUGCAAACGCGGUACGUCCGAGCAGGGCAUGAUAGCCGCUGCGGAACGGGACUAUAUCGAAGAUUAACUCCUCGCUUCAGAAGUUAUCCGGGGAUCCGAAGACCACUUCCAGUGUAAUUGAGCCUGUACAAUUGGCUUCUACACCUGGUAUGACGCCUUUAAAGGUCGUCUUGGUAGGUUUAAUCCUUGAGGGGUCUAUGCCCAUUUUGCGCACUGUAUCCUGAUAAAGCAGGUUCAGGCUGCUGCCGCCGUCCAUCAGAACUCUGGUGAGGUGAAACCCGUCGACGAUUGGGUCUAAAACCAAUGCGGCGAAUCCGCCAUGGCGGAUGCUGGUGGGGUGGUCCCUUCGGUCAAAAGUGAUCGGGUAGGAGGACCAUGGAUUGAACUUCGGGGCAACUGGCUCCAUCGCGUAGACAUCCCUGAGUGCACGCUUCCGCUCCCUUUUGGGUAUGUGCGUUGCAUAUAUCAAGUUCACCCUCCGCACCUGUGGGGGGAAACCCUUCUGUCCUCUAUUGUUCGGCGGUCGGGUCUCUUCCUCGUCAUCGCUAUGCAUCCCCUUGUCAUUGUUUUCGGCAAUUAACUUGUGAGGGGAAACCCUUCUGCCUGCUUGAAUACCCAACAGUCCCUGUUGGUGUGGUUAGCUGGCUUUUCGGGUGUGCCGUGUAUCUGGCACAAGCGGUCGAGUAUUCGGUCCAAAUUGGACGGACCCGGAGUAGUUCUUUUGAAUGGCUUUUUUCGCUGACCGGGUUUAGAGCCUCUGAAUCCGGCAUUGACUGCCGUAUCUUCACUAUUGUCGCCGUUAAUGCGGCGUUUGUUUUUGUUACGACGCGGCCUGCCAUUUCGGUCCUUGAAGUCCGGACUGCCAGAAUUUUUGCUAAGGUUGUUGCUGCGUGCUAGCCAGCUAUCCUCACCCGUGCAGAAGCGGGUCAUGAGUGAUGUGAGGGCUGCCAUGGAUUUCGGCUUUUCCUGUCCCAGUUGCCGGGCAAGCCACUCAUCACGGAUGUUAUGCUUGAAGGCCGCGAGGGCCUCCGCAUCCGGACAGUCGACGAUUUGGUUUUUCUUGGUUAAGAACCGUGUCCAGAAUUGUCUGGCCGAUUCGUCUGGAUGCUGGAUUAUGUGGCUUAGGUCAUCAGCGUAUGGUGGUCGCACAUAAGUGCCUUGGAAGUUAUCGAGGAAUGCGGCUUCCAGGUCUUCCCAACUCCCAAUUGACUCUGCUGGCAAGCUAUUAAGCCAAUGCCGGGCUGGUCCUUUAAGCUUGAGGGGGAGAUAUUUGAUGGCGUGAAGAUCGUCGCCGCGGGCCAUGUGGAUGUGAAGGAGAUAGUCUUCGAUCCAAACCGCAGGAUCUGUUGUGCCAUCGUAAGAUUCGAUAUUCACGGGUUUAAACCCUUCGGGGAUUUGAUGAUCCAUUACUUCAUCUGUGAAGCAUAGUGGGUGUGCGGCGCCUCUGUAUUGGGCGAUAUCACGACGGAGCUCAAAAGAGCUUUGUCUGUUUUGUUCGGCCCGGCCGGACUUACUGUGUCCGGCGCGACGGUUGUCGUCACGUACCGUGGGGCACCCACGCGAUCCAUAGAUCGAUCUUGAUUGUCUUGCCUUAUCCUCCAAUAUAUCUCACAAGUCCGGAGCGUUCCCCUGUGGCCUUGUGCUUUUCGAGCGAUGCCGGGGUACGGGUCUAGUGAAGGGCCUAGAGGCCUCUCUGUCGCGACCACGGGGUGGUCGGUCAGCCGUAUUGUCUCCUGGUGAUGCGGGUUCAUACGCCUCCUCCUCUAAUCGGGGGAGCAGCUUGCGUUUAGGGUAGCUUUUGGAGGGGCGUUCGAGCUCAUGCUCUUCGUCUGUGAGGACUUCAGUCCAUCUGUCGGCUAGCAGAUCUUGAUCAGCUCUAAGCUGUUGCUGCUUUUUCUUGAGGUUGUUCGCUGUGGCCAUAAGCCUGCAUUUAAAACGCUCUUGUUCGACGGGAUCCUCAGGCAUGACGAAUUCGUCAUCGUCGAGGCUUGCUUCGUCUCCGGAGGGAGGCAUAUAAUCCUCUACCUCUUCUUCUGCCGCUCUCUCAUGAGGGCUGGCGUCUUCGUCCUCCUGCGCUUGAUCUUGCUGGAGUGGGUUGUCUUCGGCACUGUCCGGUAUAUUAUUAUCUCCGAUGCCAGAGUCUUCAUUCUUGCUGUGGCGGGAUUUAGAGCGGCGCCGCUGACGCUGACACUUGGGCUGCUUCUUGGAGGGGUCAUCCUCCUCUGUUCCUUCGCAAUUCCCAUCUUUUGGGAUAUCCACCAUGUAUAUGUCAUAUGAUGAGGUGGCUGUCCAGUGCCCAGUAGGCGCUGGUUCUUGGUCGUCUCCGGCAUCGUCGUCCAUACCGUCGAUGUCUUCGGAGUCGUAGUCUAGCAUGUCGGUUAGAUCGUCGACAGCGGCUACCAAGUGGGUGGUGGGUGGGCUUUGAAUUUCUUCGUUGUCCGCAUCCCAACCGUCCUGACCGCAGUCCGGCCGGGGCUCUCCUGAUAACAAGAGGUACUUUAGCGAACUCAAGAUGUCGCCGAAAGGUGAGUGUUGAAAGAUGUCCGCUGCAGUGAACUCCAUGAUCGGCGCCCAAUCGGAUUCGAUCGAAGGGGGCGCGGGAGGUUCGGAGUCCGGGAGGAGUCCGGCACCUCGGAGUCACGAGCUUUAUGAGGGACAAGGUCAGUGUUCGGCUCUAUCGCCGUAGAGGUUGCAGCCCCCGAGGCGGUGUCUAGCCAUCCAUCCUUGAUCUGCGCGGACGGCUCCGAAUUGAAGAUCGGAGUGGUUUCGAGUGCGGCCUCCAGGGUACUAUCUGGCUGCAGAGCUAAAUCAUGCUCGCCGUGACAGUGCGGCACGCUCGGCUGUGGCUUGAAUCCAUCGAGGAUCAAGUCCCCGCAGAUGUCAGCCGUGAAGUUCAAACUUCCAAAUCUGACCUGAUGGCCAGGGGCGUAGCUUUCGAUCUGCUCCAGACGGCCAAGCGAAUUGGCCCGCAGUGCAAAGCCGCCGAAUACGAAGAUCUGUCCGGGGAGAAAGGUCUCACCCUGGACCACGUCGUUGAUGAUGGUCGAAGAAGCCAUCGAGCCUAUCGGUGACGACACAGAGGAACUCUCAUUGAAAGCACCAAUGUCGGUGUCAAAACCGGCAGAUCUCGGGUAGGGGGUCCCGAACUGUGCGUCUAGGUGGAUGGUAACAGGAGACAAGGGACACGAUGUUUUACCCAGGUUCGGGCCCUCUUGAUGGAGGUAAAACCCUAUGUCCUGCUUGAUUAAUAUUGAUGAUGUGUGUUACAAGAGUGGAUCUACCACGAGAUCAAGGAGGCUAAACCCUAGAAGCUAGCCUAUGGUAUGAUUGUUGUUCGUCCUAUGGACUACAACCAUCCGGUUUAUAUAGGCAUCGGAGAGGGCUAGGGUUACACAAAGUCGGUUACAAUGGUAGGAGAUCUACAUAUCCGUAUCGCCAAGCUUGCCUUCCACGCGAAGGAAAGUCCCAUCCGGACACGGGACGAAGUCUUCAAUCUUGUAUCUUCAUAGUCUUGGAGUCCGGCCGAUGAUGAUAGUUCCGCUAUCCGGACACCCCCUAGUCCGGGACUCCCUCAGCGGGGUACAGGUAGACCCACAGUACGGAAUGACAAUAGUGGAUCUGAAAAAUCUUGGGUACACUGACGAACCGUUCGUCCUAGCCAAUGAAGUGGCACAGGUUAUCUAUGUGAAGGACAUGUCUACCAAACCGAGAAAGAGAAAAGAUAAGGAAGCGAAUACAUCAUACGAUGAGCCAAAGCGCCACAUAGUUCUUUCAGGAAAAAGGGACAUCGUGGGAGUGAAGGGCAAGACAGACAUGUCUGAAGAUUAUGAAAAGUUUCAUGAAAUUCCUCCCUUCAAAGUCAAGGCUGACCGUAGCAUCCUGAUAAACGAUGAAGAUUAUCCAUGUUUACGGUGCAAUAAGCAAAUGACACAAGCGAAGAAAAAGUGAAGACUUUCUCCCACAACUAUUAUGAUGAUACCAUGCCAACUUUGUAACAGACGAGUAUGAUACCAUUGUCCGUUUUGUACAUGCACAUGCUAUGUGGGUGAAUUUAUGAUACCAUGCCAACUUUCAACUUUUUCAGAGUUCAUUUGAAAUGCUUUAAUGUCUUAUGGUUCGGCCCUCGUAAUAAUUAGAAAUAGCAACAAUAAGUAUUUUGUUGUAAGUAGAAACAAAAUAAAAUAAAUAAAGCAAGAAAGAAAACAAAAAAACAAAAAGAAAUGUUUUCAAAUUUGAAAACUAAUGGCACUAACAUAAAGUUUAUAAUUUUCCUAAAACUAAAAGCANNNNNNNNNNNNNNNNNNNNNNNNNNNNNNNNNNNNNNNNNNNNNNNNNNNNNNNNNNNNNNNNNNNNNNNNNNNNNNNNNNNNNNNNNNNNNNNNNNNNUGUUUUGGUUGGUGCUCUUUUGAUCUUGGGCGAUCGUGUAAAAUGUAUUCCCAUUUAUCUCGUAUCCGUUGUAAGUCAAUAUAGUCAAAGAUGGUCCCCUGGACAAUGAGUACAGCUCAGCACAAACAGUGUUCUCACCUUUGAGACGUGUUUCCAACCAACUGCUGAAAGUCCUGAUGUGUUCACUUGUAAUCCAGUCGUCGCACUGCUCCGGGUGUUUGGAGCGCAGACUGUUCUUGUGUUCAUCGACAUACGGGGUCACCAAGGUAGAGUUCAGUAGUACUGUGUAGUGUGCUUGAGACCAAGAAUAUCCGUCCCUGCAUAUUAUUGAGUCCCCUCCAAGCGUGCCUUUUCCCGUCAGUCUCCCCUCAUACCGUGAUUUAGGGAGACCUAUCUUCUUAAGGCCAUGAAUGAAGUCAACACAAAACCCAAUGACAUUCUCUGUUUGAUGGCCCAUGGUGAUGCUUUCUUCUGGCCUAGCGCGGUUACGGACAUAUUUCUUUAGGACUCCCAUGAACCUCUCAAAGGGGUACAUAUUGUGUAGAAAUACGGGGCCCAGAAUGACAAGCUCGUCAACUAGUUGAACUAGGACGUGCGUCAUGAUAUUGAAGAAGGAUGGUGGGAACACCAGCUCAAAACUGACAAGACAUUGCACCACAUCACUCCUUAGCCUUGGUAUGAUUUAUGGAUCGAUCACCUUCUGAGAGAUUGCAUUGAGGAAUGCACAUAGCUUCACAAUGGCUAAUCAGACGUUUUCCGGUAGAAGCCCCCUCAAUGCAACUGGAAGCAGUUGCAUCAUAAUCACGUGGCAGUCAUGAGACUUUAGUUUCUGGAACUUUUUCUCUAGUAUAUUUAUUAUUCCCUUUAUAUUCGACAAGAAGCCAGUCGGGACCUUCAUACUAAGCAGGCAUUCAAAGAAGAUUUCCUUCUCUUCUUUGGUAAGAGCAUAGCUGGCGGGACCUUCAUACUGCUUUGGAGGCAUGCCGUCUUUUUCGUGCAAACGUUGCGGGUCCUCCCAUGACUCAGUUGUAUCUUUUGUCUUCCCAUACACACCCAGGAAGCCUAGCAGGUUCACACAAAGGUUCCUCGUCACGUGCAUCACGUUGAUCAAAGAGCGGACCUCUAGGUCUUUCCAGUAUGGUAGGUACCAAAAUAUAGAUUUCUUCUUCCAUAUGGGUGCGUGUCCCGAACGUCACUCGGAACAGAUAGUCUGCCGGGACCCUUUCUGAAGAUUACUUUUUAAUCAUUGACUAUAGCAAGUACGUGAUCACUGGUAUGCAUGGCGGGCUUCUUCCGGUGAUCUGCCUUGCCUUUGAAAUGCUUGCCUUUCUUUCGACAUUGAUGGUUGGUCGGAAGAAAUCGACGAUGACCCAGGUACACAUUCUUCCUGCAUUUGUCCAGGUAUAUACUUUUGGUGUCAGCUAAACAGUGCGUGCAUGCGUGGUAUCCCUUGUUUGUCUGUCCUGAAAGGUUACUGAGAGCGGGCCAAUCGUUGAUGGUUACAAACAACAAUGCGUGCAGGUCAAAUUCCUCCUGUCUGUGCUCAUCCCACACACGUACACCAUUUUCCAUUCCACAACUGUAAAAGUUCUUCAACUAAUGGCCUUAGGUACACAUCAAUGUCGUUGCCGGGUUGCUUAGGGCCUUGGAUGAGAACUGGCAUCAUAAUGAACUUCCGCUUCAUGCACAUCCAAGGAGGAAGCUUAUACCUACAUAGAGUCACGGGCCAGGUGCUGUGAUUGCUGCUCAGCUUCCCGAAAGGAUUAAUGCCAUCCACGCUUAAACCAAACCAUAGGUUCCUUGGGUCACAUGCAAAUUUCCCUUAAGUGGAUAACCUAAGGUUUAUCAAUCCGUGGGAGGCGUAGGAUGAAGAUGGUCUCUCUCAAAGGACCCUGCAACCAAAUAACAAAUAGUCUCUUGUGUCCCCAACACACCUAAUACAAUGGUAAAUUGUAUAGGUGCACUAGUUCGGCGAAGAGAUGGUGAUACAAGUGCAAUAUGAAUAGUAGAUAAAGGUAUUUGUAAUCUGAAAUUAUAAAAACAGCAAGGUAGCAAGCGAUAAAAGUGAGCGUAAAUGGUAUUGCAAUGGUAGGAAACAAGGCCUAAGGUUCAUAAUUUCACUAGUGCAAGUUCUCUCAACAAUAAUAACAUAAUUGGAUCACAUAACUAUCCCUCAACAUGCAACAAAGAGUCACUCCAAAGCCACUAAUAACGGAGAACAAACGAAGAGAUUAUGGUAGGGUACGAAACCACCUCAAAGUUAUCCUUUUUGAUCUAUCUAUUCAAGAGUCCGUAGUAAAAUAACAUGAAGCUAUUCUUUCCGAUCAAUCUAUCAUAGAGUUCAUACUAGAAUAACACCUUAAGACACAAAUCAACCAAAAUGUCACCUAGAUACUCCAUUGUCACCUCAAGUAUCCAUGGGCAUGAUUAUACGAUAUGCAUCACACAGUCUCAGAUUCAUCUAUUCAACCAACACAAAGCACUUCAAAGAGUGCCCCAAAGUUUCUACAGGAGAGUCAAGACGAAAACGUGUGCCAACCCCUAUGCAUAAGUUCACAAGGUCACUGAACCCGCAAGUUCAUCACCAAAACAUACAUCAAGUGCAUCACGUGAAUAUCCCAUUGUCACCACAGAUAAGCACGGCAAGACAUACAUCAAGUGUUCUCAAAUCUUUAAAGACUCAAUCCGAUAAGAUAACUUUAAAGGGAAAACUCAAUCCAUUACAAGAGAGUAGAGGGGGGGAAACAUCAUAAGAUCCAACUAAAAUAGCAAAGCUCGCGAUACAUCAAGAUCUUGCCAUAGAGAGAACACGAGAGAGAGAGAGAUCAAACACAGAGCUACUGGUACAUACCCUCAGCCUCGAGGGUGAACUACUCCCUCCUCGUCAUGGAGAGCGCCGGGAUGAUGAAGAUGGCCACCGGUGAGGGAUCCCCCCUCCGGCAGGGUGCCGGAACAGGGUCCCAAUUGACUUUUGGUGGCUAUAGAGGCUUGCGUCGACCGAACUCCCGAUCUAUCUUCGUUCUCGAUGUUUUUAGGGUAUAUGGGGUUAUAUAGGUGAAAGAAGUCGGUCGGGGGUGCUCGAGGGGCCCAGGAGACAGGGGGCGCACCCUAUAGGGGGGGGGCGCCCUCCUAUCUCGUGGCCUCCUCGACGCUUCCUUGGCUUGCACUCCAAGUUCCCGGGAGAUCUUCUUUUCGAAAAUUAACUUUUCCGAAGGUUUCAUUCUGUUUGGACUUCGUUUGAUAUUCCUUGUCUUCGAAACACUGAAAUAGGCAAGAAAACAUCAAUAUGGGCUGGGCCUCCGGUUAAUAGGUUACUCCCAAAAAUAAUAUAAAAGUAUUUAGUAAAGCCCAUAAUCAUCAAAAACAGAUAAUAUAAUAGCAUGAAUGCUUCAUAAAUUAUAGAUACAUUGGAGACAUAUCAGCAUCCCCAAGCUUAAUUCCUGCUCGUCCUCGAGUAGGUAAAUGAUAAAAGAAAGAAUUUAUGAAGUGUGAAUGCUAGCAGGUGUAUAAAUUUGAUCAAUGAUAAUUUCAAUCACCUUUUCUAGCAUGUUUAUAUGUCAUAACAGUAGUUCAUCUCAUAAAACUUCUCACGAUGAAGUAACAAGCUAUUCACAUGUUAAAGCAUAGACCAUAAACUUUCUUGAAAACUAACAAACUUCAUUCUCAGUCUUCAAACAAUUGUAAUUCAUCUUAUUUUCCGGAAGGGUCUAUGUCAGAGCUUGAAAAGAUUCUUGAUGACCCACAAGUAUAGGAGAUCUAUCGUAGUCCUUUCAAUAAGUAAGAGUGUCGAACCCAACAAGGAGUAGAAGGAAAUGACAAGCGGUUUUCGGUAAGGUUUUCUCUGCAAGCACUGAAAUUGUAGAUAAUAGAUAGUUUUGUGAUAAGAUAAUUUGUAACGAGUAACAAGCAAUGAAAGUAAAUAAGGUGCAGCAAGGUGUCCCAAUCCUUUUUGUAGCAAAGGACAAGCCUGGACAACUUCUUAUAAUGAGAAAAGCGCUCCUGAGGACACAUGGGAAUUAUCGUCAAACUAGUUUCAUCACGCUCAUAUGAUUCACGUUCGGCAGUUUGAUAAUUUGAUAUGUGGGUGGACCGGUGCUUGGGUACUACCCUUACUUGGACAAGCAUCCUGUCGGGGAUAUACCCCGCGGUGUAAACCGGCCGGAAGUUAACCCGGCCGGACUUGGCGGUUUAUUUGAGACCCCGCUGACACUUGGCGGUUCACCGGCGACCCGUUUGGACCUGGCGGUUCACGACUCAUUGGUAAUCCGGCAGGCGGGUGCGAGGAGCGACAAGACCUGGUGGCCCAACAGGCGGUUCAUGAAGGUCGGUUCAUACUAUGGUGGGCCGGUUUAAGAGGAAAGGCAUAAGGAAUAUUUGUCUUACAAGGAGUUAAGACCUGGACUUGUAUCCGGUUUGUAUUAGAGAUAGACUAGUCCUAAUCAUAAUAGGACUCCACAUGUAACCCGCCCCUUCAACAUAUAUAAGGAGGGGCAGGGCUCCCCAAAGAGGGAGAAGCGACAAGCAAGAAGAAACAAUCUUAGGGCUAGACACAAAGGGGAGAGCCGGUUUACGGCGACUCCCUCGUGAUGAUAAUGAGACCUAGCCUCAAACAGCAUGUAGCGUUUUUACCGGAUGAUGUUUCCCGGGGCCCGAAGCUGUCUAAAAUCUCUGUCUUGUGUUGCAUCUCUCGAUUCCGCUCAACCCCUCUCAAGCUACCACAUAGAUGCGUUGGCCUCGCGACCAAGUCCUGACACUAAGGACAUCUGCCGUGACAAUUCCACGACAGUUGGCGCCCACCGUGGGGCCUGCACACGGUGGUGUUGAGUUCUUGGAGGGAUUUCUCCCAGGGAUCGAGGAGUUCAUAAAUUUCCAGAUGAGGAGGAGCCGGUUGGAGGGGAUCUACAUCAGCUUCGAGUUCAUCGGUUCUGAUUCAUAGUUUGUGAGAUUUAAGGUUCAAGAAACUUGAGGUUGCGAGAUGUUUGCUGCGGCAAGUCACCAAAUCGACAUGAGUCGUUUGGAAAGAUUGGCAUCAGCCUCAAGAGUUACGAUCCUUGAAAGAGAAAUUAGGGUUGCGGCCCGCCUGCCGCCGAUUCAUCCGAGCAGUUUUUCUGAGUCGGCGGCGACUUAUUUUUUGACGGUUCCAUUGUCUAUAUCCAGAUCAAACGAAGGAUACACAUAACGCGUGCAAAGUUCAGGAUCAGUUAACCCAGCUGGCCUUUGAUACAAGACCAUGAGCAGGUUUAUGUUCAUCGGGCCACGAGCCGGAGAAAGACUCAGCACGGAAUCGGAUUCCUUUACCUGCAGCCUUGAGCUGUACAAGGAGACACGAGCUGCGAAAUCCAAUCAGCAGCGUGGACAGAAAAGUCAACAUGACUCUGGAGAGGAUUCGGACGUAGAUAACCAGCUUUGACCAUGCCGCCGGCUCGCACGGCCAUGGUUCGCUUGGGCCGCCUCGGUCGAGAUGCCGCCAUGGUUGUGCUCUGACCUAAAUCACUGCUGUCAAACCGCCUCCCUCGGCAUACAAGCCGCCUCGCUCUACCUUCGGCUUAUGUUCACCGCGCCGCGCCCAAUUCAGCCCACCUCGCGCUGACUUGCCUUGGCUUUACUCCUCCCCGAGACACAUUGCUGCAGGCAUACAGAGCCACCGCGGCCUCAACCCGCCUCCGUUUCCAACCCGGCGCUUCACUCCUCCGCCGUCGUAUUACCCGUGCGGUGGGCCGCCACGCCUUGAACCGCCCGACGCCUCGCUCCUCUGCUGAGUCGCCGCCACUGGAGAGCUGCCCUGCGCCUGUGAGCUGCCACGACCGUCGCGGCCUCCGAACCGCCCUCGCCGGAGUACCAAGUUGCUGCUGAGGUCGGCCUACUUCAAAUCACUACCGUGACCUUCCCCAAUUCUUCUUGGUAGACGGGGGUUGUUUUCUGCUGUGGCCUUGACUCGCUGUCCACCAUUAAAUCCGUGGCCGGCUUAUGUUGUGUGUUGCCGCGAUCCCGGGUCGUGGCCGCUGGGUCAUCCGUCUCCGUUGUUGCGGUUUCAUCAAGUCACCGCCGUUCCACUUCUGGGACAGCCGGCUUUGCACGACCUCACCUCGUGCUGCUGUUGCUCAGCGUCUUAAGCCGGCCUUGCUGCCGCCUUGCGCCGCCCUCGCCGGAGCGGCCACACUUUGAGCCGCCGGUCUCCGUCAAUGCCGCCACCGAACUGAUGAGCCGGUGGUCUCCGCUGAGCCGCCUUGCAGGCUGCAGGUGACCUGCCUUCGCCCGAGUCCGAGCCGCCAACGCCCCUCAACCACUAUGUUGAGUCGCCAUGCUGACCCGCCCCUACACCAGCCAGCAAGCUGAACCGGCCACCCGCCCCUCGCUCCCGCUUAGUCUGGCCUCAGAGCCACUAUCCCUCGACAGCCUCACCUCACCUCUCCUGCAAGUCGCCAAUGAAGGCUGACAUCCAAGCACUUGUGGGUUGUGAUAGUUGUUGGCUUCAGUUACCGCAGUGUCGAUGGUUUCAAGGUGUACAAGGCCUGGAGGUUAGUAUGCUAAUGAAGGGUACGGCGAGGGAGGUACCCUGGUCAGUGCAUGCAUACAUCAUGGUUCAAAUCUGCCUACAAUAAUGGAAUGGGAGUCCAGCGGGCAAGUACCACGCUAGUAAAUUUGCAGCAGAUCAAAGUCAAAGUCAGUGGAAGAAAUAAGCAAUCCACAAUCUGUUAGCAGUUGUUCUUACUGCAUCAGUACUCACUGUUUGCAUAUGCCUGUCUGCUGAACUGCUCGAAUCCGUCUAUCCUAGUAUCCUUACGACUGCUCGACCAACAGAUGGGCCGUAUGCUACUGUCUCAAAAGUGCAGGAACAAACAGCUCCAACGGUGCAUGCAGGAAUCAGCCAAAGCUAACAUGAUUAGCCUCGGCCAAGGCAAUGAUAUAUUGGCAUUAAAAAAACUACUAUUUGGGCACGUUCCCCAAAGUUUGAUGGAUGCAUAGGUGGAUAUGAAGGUCCAUUAAACCUGAUGAAUUUUGCUUCGAUCGCUACGUCCGAUGAAAAACCAGGUGUUCUCAACACUGAUCUUUUAUGUCUGUACAUGUUAAAUCUUUUCGAAAAUAUUUUCUUUUUCCUGGCAUGUACUAUUUUAUACAGGAUGAUCAGGGAUGCACGUCAACGCACUAGAAGCACAUGCGUUCGUGCGUGAUGUUGUGCGUGACUGUGUGAGGGACAAUCGCGCAGACUGCCGUGAUCCGGCUUACAAUGCCGCGACCGACCCGCCCGUCCGCACCGGCUUACAACGCCGCGAUCGACUUAUCUGUUUGAUCCCGCGACCGACUUGUCCAUGGUUGAUUUUAAUUUCACCAUGGUGAUCGUCAAUUCUAUGAUGGAUAUUUUCUGGCCUAACAUAUCAGGUGAAAUCCAUUCAAUAUAUUUUAUAUUACAUAUUAUUUUCUUCGAAAGAGAAAUUACUUUGGCUUGCAAAGUUAUCUAAUGCAGGACCCUAAACCGCCAUAUUGGUGCAAAUUUAAAAGCCGUUAGAAAAUUUCCGGCUUAAAAAGAAGGAUUCCAAUUUAAUAUCCGGCUCAAGGGGAAGAUGUCUCCCACAAAGCUUUGAAGCUCUCAAUAUCCGGCUCAAGAUCCCGGUUCAAGAAAAAUUUAUCUCUUGCAAAAAGUUAAAAAUUGCCAAAGAGGACCUGCUGCCAUGGUGCGCGGUUUAAACAUGGGUAUCCUGCCUUAUUGGCCUGACAUAUUAUUGAUCACAUGGGGGCUUCUGCUUCAUAAAGCGGGGUCUCUGUUCUUCUUACAUCAUGCAUGGUUACACAGAGGUUCUGUCUUAAAGCGGCCUCCGGUUUACCCCUCGAGUUAGCUUUUCAAAAGCUUUAUAUCAUAUCACUUGGGGGCUUGGUCGUGUCCGAACCAAUGAAACACCUUUUGAUAGGCGAAAGCCACCAGAUCAUUUGGGGACAUGGUCAAGUCUGAACCAGUCACGCCUCUUGGUCGGCCUAAGGCCACAGAAUCACUUGGGGGCUUUGGUCGAACCCAAACCAUCGUCACCCCUCUUGAUCGGUGUAAUGCCAAUGCAUCACUUGGGGACUUGUGGUCACGUCUGAACCAUAGUCACGCCUCUUGAUCGGCCUAAGGCCAUAGAGUCACUUGGGGGCUUGGUCGAACCCGAACCAUUGCCACGCCACUUGAUCGGCAUAAUGCCACGGUUUCAGUUGGGGACCUGGCUGACUUGAACCAUGGCUACACCUUAUUGGGAGCUUGGUCGUGUCCGACCAUGGUAACACCAUCUGAUCGGCUCAGUAAAGCCUCAUUUGCAAUGGUUUUAUUUUGCCUUUGCUUGAAUUAUGUUCCUUUUUGCUAAAGAACUUUUACUUCUGUUGCGUUUUUAAACCGACAUUGUUAAUCCGGUUCAAACUGUCAAUUACAAAUUGGCGGAACACGGUCAAAUCCUAAUCCGGAGACUAUCUGCCCGGUUUGAUGUUACCAUCUUAUUAUGGGGUAAACCGGUGUUCAUUAACCCGGCUUGACUUUCAAUUACAAAUUGUCAGCACAUGAUCAAAUCAUAAUCCGGAGACUAUCCGCCCGGUCUGGUUUGACUACGAGUCGCCAGUAUUAUAUAUGGUUAAACCGGUGUUUAUCACAACCCGGUACGGUUUAGCAUCAACCGGCACAGUAUGAAAGGAGUUAUCAUUACUCAAGAUUGGGGUUAUCACUCUUACUACAAAAAGUUGGUAAAACCAGCAAUGUGAUUCAAUAUCACAGGUAUGAUAUAUUUCAAAUUUGAUUAUUCUUGACCCGUCUGGCGUAAACCGCCAGGACACUUUAAACUUGUUGUAUACAGAAACAGGUUGAAUAAAGCAUGAUUAUAAAUCACUGACGUUUAUUAAACCGGCCUGGCUUUGGACUAUACGUCGCUAGUAUAUAUUUGGAUUGCGCCAUUGGAAUCAUGCGCUUAUAAAUGAUUGGGUUAUAUUAUUCAAAUAGCCAAACUUGGCUGAAUUUGCAUUAUGAUAUUGGAUGAAUUUUUCAUACCGGAUUAUAUUAUCUUGAAUAGCCAACAUGGCUGGAUUUCCAUUAUGGUUAUCAAUAACCAGUAUUAUGAUUAAGGUUUUCAAAGUCGCUUUAGCACAAUGGCUAUCAUAUUAUCAAUGGAUAUAAUUUAUUCUACAAUUGAAGGAAUAGUCCCGAGUUGCUGCAGGCUUACAACCCGGCACUUGGGGGCUACAUUAUUUAAGUUGAGAUUACAUCAAAUAUGCAAGUCUCAUGUCGCUGCAAGCAUGCACCAUGACACUUGGGGGCUAAUGCAAAGUCAUUUUUUGCUCAUCUUAUUGAAGACCCGACUCAUCAUAUCAUAGUGAGCCGGCCCUUGGGGGCUACCAAUUGCUCCUGUCAACCACUCAAGGUACACAAGUUAAAUCCAUUAUGUUGAAGGAUCCACUGCUCAGUUGGUAAAGCACAAGGCUCUUACCCUUAUGGAUGUGGAUUCAAGCCCAUGAUGGGGGUUACAUCAUAUGAUGUUAUUUUCAUUGAAGUAUAUAUCAAGUCCCAGUUCAAUAUUAUCUUAUUGAGACGGUCCUUGGGGGCUACACAUCAUUGCUCAAAUCUACAUGAUUAUAUUUACAAAGUCCCUGCUCAUUAUAGCAUAAAUGACCCGGCACUUGGGGGCUAUAUAAUAUGGAGUGUUCAGUUUUUACUAGUGAUUGGGAUGAACAACAUGGAUUUCUUCAAAAGUGGCAGUAUUGAUAUUGAAGCAAGUUUUAAGCCAUCACUUUGUUCUGCUCAAGACUUGGGGGCUACAGGUAUUAUAUUAUUAUCAAAGAACUAUUUUCAAAUUCUCUAUUUUGAGCAAACCGGAUUGACCCGGCGUCACCAAUCAUUACGACCCUAUGGCUGCAACCCGGCGUUGGCAACAAUCAUGACCCGGAGUUAUCAGUUUUUAUAACUCGACAGUUUUGGUAAUAAUAAACCGGCAAGUUCUACAUCUUCAAACAGGCCGAAUUUCAGAUGAGUAUUUCAAGACCAAAAUUUCAUAAACCGGCGCUUUGGAAGCCGACUCAAGUGGAUUAUUCUUCACAAUAUUUUUUCUAUAAGAAGCCAACAUCAGCAAUUUGAGUAUGAAGCUGGUUAUUGACCCAGAUUUUCUAGAAGGAGGAAAUGACAAAGGUCUUAAGGACGAUCAGGUGCCGGUCUACAAGAAUUCUUAACCCGGAGCACAACCUGCCAAAUUUGUUCUGGUGUUUAUUUUGCAGCAUAAGUUUACCAUGGAUAAAUCCAAGCUAAACUUGGGAGCUAAUGUCGGGGAUAUACCCCACGGUGUAAACCGGCCGGAAGUUAACCCGGCCGGACUUGGCGGUUUAUUUGAGACCCCGCUGACACUUGGCGGUUCACCGGCGACCUGUUUGGACCUGGCGGUUCAUGACUCGUUGGUAAUCCGGCAGGCGGGUGCGAGGAGCGACAAGACCUGGUGGCCCAACAGGCGGUUCAUGAAGGUGGGUUCAUACUAUGGUGGGCCGGUUUAAGAGGAAAGGCAUAAGGAAUAUUUGUCUUACAAGGAGUUAAGACCUGGACUUGUAUCCGGUUUGUAUUAGAGAUAGACUAGUCCUAAUCCUAAUAGGACUCCACAUGUAACCCGCCCCUUCAACAUAUAUAAGGAGGGGCAAGGCUCCCCAAAGAGGGAGAAGCGACAAGCAAGAAGAAAGAAUCUUAGGGCUAGACACAAAGAGGAGAGCCGGUUUACGGCGACUCCCUCGUGAUGAUAAUGAGACCUAGCCUCAAACAGCAUGUAGGGUUUUUACUGGAUGAUGUUUCCCGGGGCCCGAAGCUGUCUAAAAUCACUGUCUUGUGUUGCGUCUCUCGAUUCCGCUCAACCCCUCUCAAGCUACCACAUAGAUGCGUUGGCCUCGCGACUAAGUCCUGACACUAAGGACAUCUGCCGUGACAAUUCCACGACACAUCCCACUUAUGAUUAACCCCUAUUGCAAGCAUCCGCAACUACAAAAGAAGUAUUAAGGUAAACCUAACCACGGCAUGAAACAUAUGGAUCCAAAUCAGACCCUUACGAAGCAAUGCAUAAACUAGGGUUUAAGCUUCUGUCACUCUAGCAACCCAUCAUCUACUUAUUACAUCCCAAUGCCUUCCUCUAGGCCCAAAUAAUGGUGAAGUGUCAUGUAGUCGACGUUCACAUAACACCACUAGAGGAGAAACAACAUACAUCUCAUCAAAAUAUCAAACGAGUAUCAAAUUCACAUGACUACUAACAGCAAGACUUCACCCAUGUCCUCAGGAACGAACGUAACUACUCACAAAGCAUAUUCAUGUUCAUAAUCAGAGGGGUAAUAAUAUGCAUAAAGGAUCUGAACAUAUAAUCUUCCACCAAGUAAACCAAUUAGCAUCAACUACAAGGAGUAAUCAACACUACUAGCAACCCACAGGUACCAAUUUGUGGUUUUGAUACAAGAUUGGAUACAAGAGAUGAACUAGGGUUUGGAGAGGAGCUUGUGCUGGUGAAGAUGUUGAUGGAGAUUGACCCCCUCCCGAUGAGAGGAUCAUUUGUGAUGAUGAUGGUGAUGAUUUCCCCCUCCUGUAGGGAAGUUUCCCCGGUAGAACAGCUCUGUCGGAGCCCUAGAUUGGUUUCUCCAAGGUUACUCCUCGUGGCGGUGGAGUUUCGUCUCGUGAUCUUGCCUCUCAUUUUUUCCAGGAUAAAACACCUCAUAUAGUAGAAGAUGGGCACCAGGGGGCCACCAGGGGGCCCAGGAGACAGGGGCGCGCCCUGUAGGGGGGCACCCUCCUGGCCAGGGUGUGGGCCCCCUCAGGUACUUUCUUUGCCCAAUAAUUCUUAUUAAAUCCAAAAAUGACUUUCAUGGAGUUGCGGGACUUUUGGAGCUAUGCAGAAUAGGUUUCCAACAUUUGCUCCUUUUCCAAUCAGAAUCCCCGCUGGCGGCAUUCCCCCUCUUCAUGGUAAACCUUGUAAAAUAAGAGAGAAUAGCCAUAAGAAUUGUGACAUAACGUGAAAUAACAGCCCAUAAUGCAAUAAAUAUUGAUAUAAAAACAUGAUGCAAAAUGGAUGUAUCAACUCCCCCAAGCUUAGACCUCGCUUGUCCUCAAGUGGAAGCCGAAAUCGAAAAAUAUGUCCACAUGUUUAGAGAUAGAGGUGUCGAUAAAAAUAAAAUACGGACAUGAGGGCAUCAUGAUCAUUCUUAUAACAACGGCAUAUAUAGAUUUUGUCAUAUGAUUUCUUAUGCUCAAGUAACAAUCGAUUCACAAUGUCAAGUAUGGAACAUAAACUUCAUUGGAAACUAACAAACUAUAAUCUUAAUCAUUGAAGCAAUUGCAAUUUAUCAUAACAUCAGAAAGAGUCAAGAAUAGAGGUUUUCAGCAAGUCCACAUACUCAACUAUCAUAUAGUCUUCUACAAUUGCUAACACUCAUGCAAUACUUAUGGUUAUUGGGUUUUAAUAGGACACUGAGAAAGAUAGGGGUUUAUAAUGUUGCCUCCCAACGUGUUCACCUUUACGUGUUGUCAACAAUAAUAAUUCAUGCUAACGAACACCCAAUUGGAUAUAUAUAUAUAUAUAUAUAUAUAUAUAUAUAUAUAUAUAUAUAUAUNNNNNNNNNNNNNNNNNNNNNNNNNNNNNNNNNNNNNNNNNNNNNNNNNNNNNNNNNNNNNNNNNNNNNNNNNNNNNNNNNNNNNNNNNNNNNNNNNNNNAACUAUAAUAUUCAAGCAUAUCAAUAAGUAACCAAGUCUUUCAAAAUAUCAACCCUAAAGAAUGGAUAAAAAGCAGAAAAGAACCGUGUCCAUUUGCGUCGGCGCGUUAGAGUUGCCCUAAGGGAUGCCACAUCAGAUUUAGUUGGAGGAGAGAGUAGACAAAAGAGAAGAGAAGCGGACUACAAACUUAUAGCUAGUUAUAGCACAAACUCUGACACCCUUUGCGAGAGAAAGAGGUGGGUUACAUAUUAAUGAUAUAGCAUACUAGUAUGACUAACUAGUGUAGAGUGAGCUACUAGAUUGGUUAUAAGUGGCAACUUCAUAUAGCUGAUUGUUGGUUAUACUAUUAACCAUGCUUUUACUUCCACUAUGGCCAGACUGAUUCUGUAGGAGCGUGGUUAAUAAGAUAGCUAACCACUAGCUAUAACAUAUUGUCAUGUCAUCUAUAGGCAAUGUAAUAGCCAACAUGUAUAAUAGUUAGCUACAAGGAAAUGCUACUUUAUUACCAGUGACCCACCUUAUAGCACGGUUAAUAAUAUAGGCAGCUAAUGGCUAUAUGAAACUGCCAUGUCAUCUAUGGCCACCAUCUAUAGGCAGUCAUACAACAAUGUAGGUUAUAAGGUUGGCUAUUACAUUAGUGCUUUUUUUCAUCUUAUCUCUAUCUUUUUCAUCACAUUUUAUUGUAUUUGCCUAGGAAUGUGUAUAUAGCUAGGCUAUUGCAUGAGAGUCGACUCACCUUACUUUUUCACACCUCUCUUCUCCACACAGGCAAAAGUGCCAUGUAAGCGGGCUAUAAGCCCACUACUGUAUUUGCUCUUACCCUCUCAUGGAGUUUCUUGAAGUCCGCGUUACAGUGGGCUGUAAAUCUACAACUCGCUUCUCUUCUAUAUCCUCUAGCUAAGCAAAAAUAUAAUAUUUAAAGUCUUACAGCCUGCCUACGGCAUUUUAUUGUACUUGCUCUAAGGGCAUAUACAAUGGUGCUAUCUUAAGAGUGCCACGUAGGAUAAAUGAUGAGGUGGAAAGAGAGAACUCAUAAGAAAAGGAUUGUCUUCUCUUAUUUACAAAAAAGGGUUUCCCCCCGCUUUAUGUUAUAAAGCAACGGACCAAGCAUCCAAAAAGUUAAUACAUAGUGCCAUCAAGUCAUAAAGUCAUGCUGGGGGCACAGUGAGAGAAGCCCCAAAUAAAGCUAAAAACGAAGAAGGCUAAUCCGGCUCAGGUAGAGGCGGCGGCGGAGGUAGUGGUGGAGCAAAAGCCGAGGCCGAGGAAUGGAGACCGGAAAUGAAGUUGUUGAUGACGUCUCAGUCCUGCCGCUUGCUAAGCGGUCUCCAAAGCUGUAAGAAGCCACACAUUUUGUAGAUUGCAUCAGUCACACGACAUGGGAUCACACGUUCGAUGACAAGUUUAUUGUGGCAACACCAUAACGUCUAGGCUAGGGUGCCCAAUGCCACCCAGAUGGGUGGACGCCUGGGACCGGGUAAACUAAGGACCUCCGCAAAGAGGUCCAGGAGGUUGUCGUGGCACUAGUUGCCACCGACCACCUCCCUGAAACAACUCCACAAGAAUUGAGCCGCCGGACAUCAAAAAAAGAUGUGGUUGCAGUCUUCUGGGACCAAAUAAAUGGCGCACAAACCAUCCCCAGGUCCGUUACGCUUCUGGAUCUCCGUACCCGAAGGUAAGCGACCACGAACCCAUUGCCAAAGAAAAAUAUGGAUCUUCAGUGGGAGUUUGAUUUCCCAAAGAACCGUCAACUCAACUGGUCCCGGCGAGGGAACAAUCGCCUGGUAAAGGGACCUAGUUGAGAACCGGUCACUAGGUUCAAGGUGCCAUGAGAGCACAUCAGGCUCAAGAGAAGGGGGUUGUAGAGCGAUGCACGAGAGAAAUUCGUCCCAUUGCUCGAGUUACGUCGGCCCAAAGGUACGGCGGAAAGCAAUGGCGCCCAAGUCGGUCAGAGCAGUGGCCACAGAUAACUGCGGGUGGGCACAAAUCGAGAAUAAGGCGUGGAAGCACUCCGCGAAGGGCCGAUUCCCAGCCCACUUAUCUAGACAGAACAUGGUGCCUGUGCCGGACCCCACUUGGACGGAGGUCCCAAUACGCAAGAUCGGCAUCAACCGGACCACCGUUUGCCAGAAUUGGGAGCCUCUAGCACGAGAAGUGAAAGCCAACGGUUGCCCGCGCAAGUAUUUUGCGCGAAUAAUCUCCAACCACAAACCUCCCUCACCGGCCUGGAUACGCCAGAGCCAUUUGGAGAGGAGGGCUAUGUUCAUCCACUUCGAGGAGAUGACUCCAAGGCCCCCUUGGUCCUUGGGCUUACAGAUCUCAGACCACUUCACCAUGUGGUACUUUUGUUUAUUAUUCUCUCCUGCCCAAAAAAGUCUGGAGAGGAGCUUGGUGACCUCCUUAUGGAGGGAUUCGUGAAGACUAUAGAGUCCCAUGAGGUACAUCAAGAGGCUAAUGAGGGAGGAGUUCAUCAAAAUCACUCGCGCGGCCUUGGACAGCCAUCUCCCUUGCCAAGGCUCCAUCCUUGGAUGGAGUUUGGCAACUAUUGGAUGGAAGUCCUUUUCCAGGAGACGCGUGUCACUAAUGGGCAUGCCUAAAUAAGUGGUCGGGAAAGAUCCCAGACGACAAUUCAGGUGGUUGGCGAUUCGCUGGGCUUCGGCCUGGGAAUAUCCCGGAACCAUUACGUCACUUUUGACGAAGUUAAUCGUGAGGCCCGACAUCUCCUGAAAGCAAAGGAGGAGGAAUUAGAGAUUCUGAAUAUCCUCGUCUGAUCCUUCAACCAUCAUAAUGGUGUUGUCGGCAUACUGGAGGUGAGUCAGACCUCCAUUGGCCACAAGAUGGGGGCAAAUCCCCCUAAUGUGUCCAGCCUGUUUGGCCAUGUCAAGGAUUGAGGCCAAGGCAUCGACCACAAGGAUGAAGAGAAAUGGAGAAAUCGGAUCGCCUUGUCGAACUCCCUGUCCAGUCAGGAAGUAGGGUCCAAUCUCCCCAUUCACAUUCACUGCCGUGCGACCACUUGUCGCCAGCUGCAUCACCCGAGCUACCCAGUGGUGAUCAAACCCAUGCUUGAGAAGCACUUCCCGAAGGAAGGAUGCCAAAGGCAGCGAAGCAUUGCACUGCAAGUGGCCAUAGUUGGAAGGGAGCUUAGGCGAUGGCGAUUCUCCUGGCGCCUCCGGCGGCGGCCGCGUCUGCCGCCGAGCUCCCCUCUCCCACCGUCGUUCUCUCCCCGUCCUCCCCGCUGGUCCAUCGCCCCCUCCCCACCCCUCCGUCCCGGGCGCACCGGCUCCUCCCCUCCCGUUGUCGCCUGCUGGGGCUCUGGGCUAGGCCCCUGCCUCGCCCUGCCGGCCUUGCUGGGCGGACUGGGCGGCGGAGGAGGACCGGGCGGACGCCGUUGCGGCAUCGUCAGGCCGCCGCCCCCUGCCGGUUUGGGGACCGUCUCGCUGAGAUCGCCACUUCGGAGCUAGUCUUCAUCGACGCGGCGUCGCCGCUGCCUCCUUCCCCCUUCCCUUGCCGGUGUGGCCUCGUCCUUACCGUGCACCACCUUCCCCUCCGUUGCUGGACGCGCACCGCGCUGCGCUCCGCCAUGGCGGAGCGGCCCGAGCCCACGCUUGAGGGCUGUCCGGAAGGGCGGACCUUGGCCGCACGGCGUUCUCCUGGCGCCGGUCGCCGCCAGUGUUGCCCUCCCCUACGGCGGCACUGCGGUCGGCGGGCGUGGGGAAUACCGCGAUUGUGCCCCUGGGCCGAAGUUUUGGCCCUUUCGACCAUCAGCGGCGGCGGCGUCCGGUGAGACGGCAGCGGCGACGCUGCAGCGGUCGGGGGAAACCCUACCUCCUUCCCUCCCCUCCCUGGUGGAGGGGUUGGGCCAUCCAGGGCCAUGUGGGCCGGUCGGGACGGGACGGGGGAGGGGGGCGCUGGGCCAUCUGGGCCAGUCCGUCUCGUUGGACUGCCGGGGCUUUCUGCGCCUGGGCCGGCGCAUUCUCGUCCCGCCUCCUCUCAGGCCAUGGGCCAAGUCCCCCCGGACGACCGGCCUUGCUCCUCUUUAGGGUUGGUUGCGACUCGCCUGUCGCCCCUCCCUCCUCCCCUUCUCCACGCGACGCCGCCGCCCUGCGUCUUCCCCUCCCCCUGUUCCUCUACGCCGCCACCUGGGCCAGCCCCUUCGCCCCCCUGCGUCCCCUCCCCUCCCCCCGUUGCGCCUGCCAUGGUCCGGGAUGCCGGGGACGGGGCCCCUCGCCCCAAGCGUCGGGCGGGCGGCCGGGAUGUGCCGCCUCCUGAUGAGUCGCGUCGUGCCUCGCCGGACGGUUCCCGGAGGGUGGCUGAGCUCCGGGAGGGCCUGCUCCAUGGCAAAGGGUCGAACACGGCCGAGGAUGCUGACUCGCGGUCCUCUCGGGGUCUUGUCCGCUUUCCCGAGGAGUGGCGGGGUCGCGCCCGGAUCGGGACCAUUGCUCCCCUCCGUCCCACCGCUCCCGCUCUCCUCCCUAUUCCGAGCACGCGCCGGCCUCCCCCGCGCAGCGCUACGACCCCCCUCGUCGCCAAGCCCAAUUCCCUCCGACCGGUCCCAACAACAACAAUAACUGCAAUGGUCGGGGGGCGUUUGCCAGGAAGAAAAAGAAGCGGGGCGCGCUGACCCAACCGAGUGGCCCAGCAUCCUCGGUCUCCANNNNNNNNNNNNNNNNNNNNNNNNNNNNNNNNNNNNNNNNNNNNNNNNNNNNNNNNNNNNNNNNNNNNNNNNNNNNNNNNNNNNNNNNNNNNNNNNNNNNNNNNNNNNNNNNNNNNNNNNNNNNNNNNNNNNNNNNNNNNNNNNNNNNNNNNNNNNNNNNNNNNNNNNNNNNNNNNNNNNNNNNNNNNNNNNNNNNNNNNNNNNNNNNNNNNNNNNNNNNNNNNNNNNNNNNNNNNNNNNNNNNNNNNNNNNNNNNNNNNNNNNNNNNNNNNNNNNNNNNNNNNNNNNNNNNNNNNNNNNNNNNNNNNNNNNNNNNNNNNNNNNNNNNNNNNNNNNNNNNNNNNNNNNNNNNNNNNNNNNNNNNNNNNNNNNNNNNNNNNNNNNNNNNNNNNNNNNNNNNNNNNNNNNNNNNNNNNNNNNNNNNNNNNNNNNNNNNNNNNNNNNNNNNNNNNNNNNNNNNNNNNNNNNNNNNNNNNNNNNNNNNNNNNNNNNNNNNNNNNNNNNNNNNNNNNNNNNNNNNNNNNNNNNNNNNNNNNNNNNNNNNNNNNNNNNNNNNNNNNNNNNNNNNNNNNNNNNNNNNNNNNNNNNNNNNNNNNNNNNNNNNNNNNNNNNNNNNNNNNNNNNNNNNNNNNNNNNNNNNNNNNNNNNNNNNNNNNNNNNNNNNNNNNNNNNNNNNNNNNNNNNNNNNNNNNNNNNNNNNNNNNNNNNNNNNNNNNNNNNNNNNNNNNNNNNNNNNNNNNNNNNNNNNNNNNNNNNNNNNNNNNNNNNNNNNNNNNNNNNNNNNNNNNNNNNNNNNNNNNNNNNNNNNNNNNNNNNNNNNNNNNNNNNNNNNNNNNNNNNNNNNNNNNNNNNNNNNNNNNNNNNNNNNNNNNNUGCUCUUAUUUCGGUCUUGGAUGGCAGGACGGCCUCUCCGGCCAUCAUCUCUGAGGAGCUUCGCCACCUGUUCAACCCGGAUUGGGAUUGGGGGGUGACCCCAGUCUCAGACCGGGAGUUCACCGCCGUCUUCCCUGACUCGGUCAGUCUUCGCUAUGGCACCCACAGCGCCCGUCUCACGCUCGCCCUCAACCAGCUCUCCGUCCGCAUCUUGGUCCCGACCGUUGACCCUCUUGCGGUGGCCUUUCUCUCCAUGGUGUGGGUGCAGAUCCGUGGGCUUCCUCCGGCUGCCAGGGUGGAGAGGGUCAUCCAUGGCCUGUCCCGCUUGUUGGGCAAGUUUGUGGCAGUUGACGGCUCCUCCCUGUCCUCGGGCCUGUCUGUUCGGGUGCAGAUCAAGUCUCCAGACACCUCCAAGCUCAAGAUGACGAUUCGGGUGUUCUUCAACGAUGCAGGCUAUGACCUUCGCAUCACGGUUGAGGGUGGGACUCCCGAUGAUCCCCUCAACCCGGAGGCUGGGGGUGCUACUGAUCCCGCGCCGGGCCUCCGGUGAUGACUUGUCGGAUCCUGAGGAUGACCCCCCUCCAACUGGCUCCUCUCACCCCUCGUCUACCCACGGUUCGGGGCUUGACGGCCUCGAUCCUGAGCCCGAGGAGGAGGCCGAGGACAUCACGGCUAUAGCAGUCAUGCUCGAGGAGGCGGCCACCCUCCCCCUGGCUCCACUCUCCCCUCCCUUCCUUCCUCCGCUGUCGCUAUCUGAUGAGGAGGUGAGUGGGGUCAGCCCAGGUAGCAUGGAGGUGCGCCCUCCAUCCUCCCCUCGGGCCGUCUCUCCGGUGCUUUCCCGGGAGGCCCCGGUGGCUCCGACCACUCUGGAGUCAGUCCUUGACGUGGCCUCUUCCCCCGCAUCCUCCAGGCCUCCCAAGUCCAGGAGUCGCCACCGCUCGGCCUCUACCCCGGUCUCCUCGGCCUGGAAGAGUGCUCGACUGGGGGCGGCCCCGACGGGAGCCUCGCCGACCGUGGUGGAGAAGGCAUCAUGUUGCGCCGCCAUCCGCAACCUCGACUCAGGUCCGUCCGACGCCCAGGCUCAUUGCCCUGAUUCUGAUGAUUUCUGCAUCGAUUCUUUUUUUGCUCUUGCUGGUGUCCCCCUUGGCCACUUGGCCAAGGCCGCGGCCGAUUCGGCCAUAGUUUUCCGCGAUGAGAAGGGUCUCGCUUUAGAGCAGCUCGCAUCCCUCCAGGCGAAGGAGAUCCUGGAGGGCCACCUCGCGGCCACUAGGGUGCGUGAGGCGGCAGCAGCUGUAGAGGAUCCUCCCUCGCCCCCUUCCCGUUCGGCUAGGGCUCGCGCCCCUCUCGUGGAAGACCCGAGUGAGAUUCGUGGUCGGACGCGUUCCCGCAUGGCCCAGGUUCGUUGGGCCCUCAGUGCCGCCUCUACCGUUGGGUCCAGGGAGGACCCCAUUGGUGAGUGAUCAUGCACGCUCUUUUUUGGAACCUGCGGGGCUUCAGUCACGAUGGACGCCGCAGGCAGCUUAUUGAGUACAUGCGUGAUGAAGCGAUUGAUGUAGUGGCAAUCCAAGAAACCAUGCGAACUGAAUUCUCCCUCGGGGAACUGGAGCGUCUUAGUAAACAUCUGUUCGCAUGGCAUUGGCUGCCAUCUAGUGGAGUGACUGGUCACUCCGGUGGCAUCCUUCUAGGUGUGAAGGAUGCCACCUUCGAGGUUGGAUCCAUGGAUCGUGGAUCUCACUUUGUUAGUAUGCAAGUUUGGGAGCGGGAGAUGAACUUCAAGUGGGAGAUCAUUGUGGUUUAUGGUCCGACUGACCAUAGUUCUCAGCCGCCUUCCUGGCCGAGCUCCACGCCAAGAUCUCCUCCGCGACCCUCCCUGUUGUGGUGGCGGGAGAUUUCAAUCUCCUUUGUUCGGCUGCGGAAAAGAGUAAUGCUAAGGUUGACAUAGCUGAAGUUUGUCGUUUCAACGACUGGGUGGCGGACUUAGGCCUGUUGGAGUUCGAUAGGGUGGGAUCGCGAUUUACCUGGACUAAUAAACAGGUGUCUUCUCUUAUUUAAGAGAAGACAAGAGAUGAUCUCUUAGCACAAUAUGUCUCCCCAUGUUUUUAGGAAUAACUAGUUAUUGAAGAUUAGACUAAGAGAUGGCCCAUUAUAAACAAUUUUUUUGUCAUCUCUAAAUUACAUGUAAGAGUUAAGAUGAGACUAUCUUAUCAAGCAUUCUACAUGCCCUAAGCAGCCGAGAUAGUAGAUCUGAUGCAAUCGCCAUUUUAACUCAAAAGGAGCACAUUGGAUCUCGCCUUGUUGUCCCCCGCUGCUUUUCAAUGGUCGGGCUUGACUCAAAGGUCGAGGUAGUACUGUUUUUCGAAGAAGAAGGGAGAGGCGCACAAGGCGUCAAAGUCAUUUGAAACCAAGCUCAUGUACACUUCACAGAUUUUCUUGACUUUCUGACGGGCCCGUUGCAGGGGAGGAUGGCGGACCCUGGCGAUGCCCGUGGCGACGCGCCCCCGGCCGCGACGCCCGCUGCCCUCGCCAGCGCUUCCCUCGCCUGUGCCUCCCCGGCUCCCGCCGCCCCGUCCCCUCCGCCAUCACCGGCGGCUGCGGCCCCAGAGGCCGCCCCCCUGCCUCCCAGCUGCACUGGGCGGACCUCGCCGAUGAGCCGCCCUUCCCGCCGCCUGCUUCCCCUUCCUCCCCGGUCGUCGCCUCCCCGUGCCGCACCGCGCUGCCCAGCUGGGCCGGUGGCUCAGCCCCCCCAGGAGCGGGGUUCUGCCACCGGCUCACGGCCGCUGCGGUUGCCGGCGCUGCCCUUGAGCUCGUAUCGGGCCGGUGGGUGCCAUGGCGCGGGUUUGAGGCCCGGGGCUGCUCGCCGCCGGCGCGCUCGGGCUUGGGGUGUGGCCGGCCGCUCCGAAAGGGGAGCCAUCCGCUCCUCCUGUUGUCGUCCGGUGCCCGGUGGCCCCCCUCGUCGCCGCCCGCGGCUUGCAGCGGCCCUGUGCCCUCGCCUCCGGUGCAGCGGCUAUCGCCCUUUCAGCCCUUCAUCGUAGCCUUCAGCUCCUCCGCUCUCCGUUAACGGUCCUCUCUCCUUGCAUCUCGCCGGACGCCGCCUCGUUUCAGAGCCUCGCCGGCGGUGGCGGCGGCGCCUUUCAUGGCUGGGGAAACCCUACGCGGAACUAGUCCACGCCGCCUGCUGGGUCGGGCCCCUUCCACACCGGGUGUGCUGGGCCCCGGCCCGGCCCAUCCGCGGCUCCCGCCUGCUGGGCCCCUCCCCUCUGCCGGACCGGCCCAUGGGAGCUAGGAUGCCUGGAUGCCCUAGGCCCAGCACUCCGAUCCCCUCGAUCUGGCUUCCCAGUGGACUUCCGUUGCCCCCAGUUCCCUUGUUCGCCGCCACCUUCACCCCUCGGGCUCCCCUGAUUCCUCGAGCCCCCCUGCUCCCCCGCGGCUCGCCCCCCUCCUCUCCCUCCCGGCCGGCGUCCAGUGCGGUCCCCCACCCCUCUCCCCCGCCCCCCUCCCAUGCCUCGGCCCCCGAUGCCCUGGGAGUGGGACGAUGGCGGCGUGCGGCACAAGCGCCCUGCCGACGACCGGUCCGACCACCGCGACCCUCCUCGUUCAUCGCCGGUCGCGCUCCGCCGCGAGGAAGAGAUCCGCCACAAGCUGCGGGACCUCCGGGAGAGCCAUCGAGAUGACCGUCGCUCCCCGAGCCGCCGCGACACGCGGGGACGCUCCCGCUCCCCCUGGCCGGCUGCUUCGGGCGACUAGCGCCCCCGGCGCCGUUCUCCCUCCCCUGCUCCCCGCCGCGGGCGAUCUCCCAUUCCGCCCCGGUCCUCUCGGCCGGCCUCUCCGCGCGGCCCCGUCCAGCCUUCGGCUCCUCCCGCUCGGAAGUACAUGCCGCCUCAUGCGGUGGCAUCCGUGCCACCGGCCGCGGCAGCUGCCCCGGGUAGGGGCCCUGCCCAUGGGUGUUCUAGCCCCGCCAAGAAGAAGAAGCGUCGUGGCACGAGGCGGGGCACCCAGCCCCCCCCCCUCCGGCUCCCGGCUCUUCUUCCACUCCGGGUCCCGUCUCCGGCCUUCCUCGCCCUCUGUGCUUCAAUUGCGGGGUGGCGAGCCACUCGCAAGUCGAAUGCGUCAACCCCAAGUGUUGUUACCUUUGCAAAGAUCCUGGCCACCCCGCCCUCCUGUGCCCGGACCGUCCGGUGGUGUCCGAGCUCAUCAUGUACGGCCACGACAUCGAGGGGCUGGGCUUCUUCCACGUCGAGGUCCCUGACGUACCGCCUCCCUCCCCCUCCCUCCAGGCGGUCGUCACGGUGGUCGACGGGGUGGCCUCCCCGGAGAUGAUCGAGGCCGAGCUCAACCACCUCUAUCGGCGCUAGUGGGACUGGGUGGUCACCCCCUCCGCGGGCCACAUCUUCUCCGUCGUCUUCCCUGACUCCAUCAGCUAUGGUUACGCCACCCGCAGCGGCCGGGUCACCCUCGCCCUCAACCAGCUCGUCGUCGACAUCUCCGAGCCGAUCCUUGAUGCCCAGGUCGUGGCCGUCCUGGACACCGCCUGGAUUCUCAUGGCUGGCCUUCCUGACAUUUCCCGGUCUGAGCUCGUCAUCCGCCAGAUGUCCCGGAUCCUUGGCAAGGUGGUGGUCGUGGACGAGCUCUCUCUCCUCGAGGAGGAGGAGGUCCGGGUCAAGGUCAAGCGCCUCGACUCUUCCAAGCUCCGUGCUACCAUCCGAGUGUUCUUCAACGAACAGGGCUUCGACCUCGGGAUCUCCCCCGAGCCGCCCAACCAUGUCGGCCGUUCCCGCUCUUUUGACGUUGGCCUCCAUGGCGGCAAUGCGGGGGCCGACGGGGACUACCGCGGUCGUCACAGAGCUCGCUCCCACCGGUCAGAGGAGGACGGGGGUUUGGAGGACUCCUACUCCCACUCCCUGCCCCCCUUCCCCCCUCCUCCUGCCGCUGGCGGGCAGGGUCGGCAGGCCGCCCCCGACUCGCUUCUUGACGGCCCGUCAGACUCCACGGCUACAUCUCCGCGGCCAGCGACAUCUCCAGUGUUGGCCUGGUCGUCUGCCCGGCAUCCUCCCCGCGCUCUCCUGCUCCGCCUAAACCCGUCGCGCUGGCUCUGGAGUCGGAUCUCCCCCCAACAUCAUCUCCGGAUCCCGCACUGCCCCUGUCGGCCCCGGUGCCAGACCCUGAGGAGACCGUGCCGCCCGUGUCGGUCCCGUCUCCUCUGCCCCUCCCCCCGGCCAUGCUCUCCCCCGCUCCGCUGCCUCCUUGGGUUGCACCGGCCGCGCUUGUCGCCGCCCCUGCUCCACCUCUGAUGUGCUCGUCUCCGACCUCGACCCCAACCCCAGUGCUCCUUGUGUGCGCUGGGCCUGCUUCUCUGGCUCCGCCUGCGCCGGACCUCGAUGCGAAUGGGGAGACCNNNNNNNNNNNNNNNNNNNNNNNNNNNNNNNNNNNNNNNNNNNNNNNNNNNNNNNNNNNNNNNNNNNNNNNNNNNNNNNNNNNNNNNNNNNNNNNNNNNNGCGUAAACCGCCAGGACACUUUAAACUUGUUGUAUACAGAAACAGGUUGAAUAAAGCAUGAUUAUAAAUCACUGACGUUUAUUAAACCGGCCUGGCUUUGGACUAUACGUCGCUAGUAUAUAUUUGGAUUGCGCCAUUGGAAUCAUGCGCUUAUAAAUGAUUGGGUUAUAUUAUUCAAAUAGCCAAACUUGGCUGAAUUUGCAUUAUGAUAUUGGAUGAAUUUUUCAUACCGGAUUAUAUUAUCUUGAAUAGCCAACAUGGCUGGAUUUCCAUUAUGGUUAUCAAUAACCAGUAUUAUGAUUAAGGUUUUCAAAGUCGCUUUAGCACAAUGGCUAUCAUAUUAUCAAUGGAUAUAAUUUAUUCUACAAUUGAAGGAAUAGUCCCGAGUUGCUGCAGGCUUACAACCCGGCACUUGGGGGCUACAUUAUUUAAGUUGAGAUUACAUCAAAUAUGCAAGUCUCAUGUCGCUGCAAGCAUGCACCAUGACACUUGGGGGCUAAUGCAAAGUCAUUUUUUGCUCAUCUUAUUGAAGACCCGACUCAUCAUAUCAUAGUGAGCCGGCCCUUGGGGGCUACCAAUUGCUCCUGUCAACCACUCAAGGUACACAAGUUAAAUCCAUUAUGUUGAAGGAUCCACUGCUCAGUUGGUAAAGCACAAGGCUCUUACCCUUAUGGAUGUGGAUUCAAGCCCAUGAUGGGGGUUACAUCAUAUGAUGUUAUUUUCAUUGAAGUAUAUAUCAAGUCCCAGUUCAAUAUUAUCUUAUUGAGACGGUCCUUGGGGGCUACACAUCAUUGCUCAAAUCUACAUGAUUAUAUUUACAAAGUCCCUGCUCAUUAUAGCAUAAAUGACCCGGCACUUGGGGGCUAUAUAAUAUGGAGUGUUCAGUUUUUACUAGUGAUUGGGAUGAACAACAUGGAUUUCUUCAAAAGUGGCAGUAUUGAUAUUGAAGCAAGUUUUAAGCCAUCACUUUGUUCUGCUCAAGACUUGGGGGCUACAGGUAUUAUAUUAUUAUCAAAGAACUAUUUUCAAAUUCUCUAUUUUGAGCAAACCGGAUUGACCCGGCGUCACCAAUCAUUACGACCCUAUGGCUGCAACCCGGCGUCAUCAAUAAUCAUGAACCGGCGUUGGCAACAAUCAUGACCCGGAGUUAUCAGUUUUUAUAACUCGACAGUUUUGGUAAUAAUAAACCGGCAAGUUCUACAUCUUCAAACAGGCCGAAUUUCAGAUGAGUAUUUCAAGACCAAAAUUUCAUAAACCGGCGCUUUGGAAGCCGACUCAAGUGGAUUAUUCUUCACAAUAUUUUUUCUAUAAGAAGCCAACAUCAGCAAUUUGAGUAUGAAGCUGGUUAUUGACCCAGAUUUUCUAGAAGGAGGAAAUGACAAAGGUCUUAAGGACGAUCAGGUGCCGGUCUACAAGAAUUCUUAACCCGGAGCACAACCUGCCAAAUUUGUUCUGGUGUUUAUUUUGCAGCAUAAGUUUACCAUGGAUAAAUCCAAGCUAAACUUGGGAGCUAAUGUCGGGGAUAUACCCCACGGUGUAAACCGGCCGGAAGUUAACCCGGCCGGACUUGGCGGUUUAUUUGAGACCCCGCUGACACUUGGCGGUUCACCGGCGACCUGUUUGGACCUGGCGGUUCAUGACUCGUUGGUAAUCCGGCAGGUGGGUGCGAGGAGCGACAAGACCUGGUGGCCCAACAGGCGGUUCAUGAAGGUGGGUUCAUACUAUGGUGGGCCGGUUUAAGAGGAAAGGCAUAAGGAAUAUUUGUCUUACAAGGAGUUAAGACCUGGACUUGUAUCCGGUUUGUAUUAGAGAUAGACUAGUCCUAAUCCUAAUAGGACUCCACAUGUAACCCGCCCCUUCAACAUAUAUAAGGAGGGGCAAGGCUCCCCAAAGAGGGAGAAGCGACAAGCAAGAAGAAAGAAUCUUAGGGCUAGACACAAAGAGGAGAGCCGGUUUACGGUGACUCCCUCGUGAUGAUAAUGAGACCUAGCCUCAAACAGCAUGUAGGGUUUUUACUGGAUGAUGUUUCCCGGGGCCCGAAGCUGUCUAAAAUCACUGUCUUGUGUUGCGUCUCUCGAUUCCGCUCAACCCCUCUCAAGCUACCACAUAGAUGCGUUGGCCUCGCGACUAAGUCCUGACACUAAGGACAUCUGCCGUGACAAUUCCACGACACAUCCCACUUAUGAUUAACCCCUAUUGCAAGCAUCCGCAACUACAAAAGAAGUAUUAAGGUAAACCUAACCACGGCAUGAAACAUAUGGAUCCAAAUCAGACCCUUACGAAGCAAUGCAUAAACUAGGGUUUAAGCUUCUGUCACUCUAGCAACCCAUCAUCUACUUAUUACAUCCCAAUGCCUUCCUCUAGGCCCAAAUAAUGGUGAAGUGUCAUGUAGUCGACGUUCACAUAAUACCACUAGAGGAGAAACAACAUACAUCUCAUCAAAAUAUCGAACGAGUAUCAAAUUCACAUGACUACUAACAGCAAGACUUCACCCAUGUCCUCAGGAACGAACGUAACUACUCACAAAGCAUAUUCAUGUUCAUAAUCAGAGGGGUAAUAAUAUGCAUAAAGGAUCUGAACAUAUAAUCUUCCACCAAGUAAACCAAUUAGCAUCAACUACAAGGAGUAAUCAACACUACUAGCAACCCACAGGUACCAAUUUGUGGUUUUGAUACAAGAUUGGAUACAAGAGAUGAACUAGGGUUUGGAGAGGAGCUUGUGCUGGUGAAGAUGUUGAUGGAGAUUGACCCCCUCCCGAUGAGAGGAUCAUUUGUGAUGAUGAUGGUGAUGAUUUCCCCCUCCUGUAGGGAAGUUUCCCCGGUAGAACAGCUCUGUCGGAGCCCUAGAUUGGUUUCUCCAAGGUUACUCCUCGUGGCGGUGGAGUUUCGUCUCGUGAUCUUGCCUCUCAUUUUUUCCAGGAUAAAACACCUCAUAUAGUAGAAGAUGGGCACCAGGGGGCCACCAGGGGGCCCAGGAGACAGGGGCGCGCCCUGUAGGGGGGCACCCUCCUGGCCAGGGUGUGGGCCCCCUCAGGUACUUUCUUUGCCCAAUAAUUCUUAUUAAAUCCAAAAAUGACUUUCAUGGAGUUGCGGGACUUUUGGAGCUAUGCAGAAUAGGUUUCCAACAUUUGCUCCUUUUCCAAUCAGAAUCCCCGCUGGCGGCAUUCCCCCUCUUCAUGGUAAACCUUGUAAAAUAAGAGAGAAUAGCCAUAAGAAUUGUGACAUAACGUGAAAUAACAGCCCAUAAUGCAAUAAAUAUUGAUAUAAAAACAUGAUGCAAAAUGGAUGUAUCAACUCCCCCAAGCUUAGACCUCGCUUGUCCUCAAGUGGAAGCCGAAAUCGAAAAAUAUGUCCACAUGUUUAGAGAUAGAGGUGUCGAUAAAAAUAAAAUACGGACAUGAGGGCAUCAUGAUCAUUCUUAUAACAACGGCAUAUAUAGAUUUUGUCAUAUGAUUUCUUAUGCUCAAGUAACAAUCGAUUCACAAUGUCAAGUAUGGAACAUAAACUUCAUUGGAAACUAACAAACUAUAAUCUUAAUCAUUGAAGCAAUUGCAAUUUAUCAUAACAUCAGAAAGAGUCAAGAAUAGAGGUUUUCAGCAAGUCCACAUACUCAACUAUCAUAUAGUCUUCUACAAUUGCUAACACUCAUGCAAUACUUAUGGUUAUUGGGUUUUAAUAGGACACUGAGAAAGAUAGGGGUUUAUAAUGUUGCCUCCCAACGUGUUCACCUUUACGUGUUGUCAACAAUAAUAAUUCAUGCUAACGAACACCCAAUUGGAUAUAUAUAUAUAUAUAUAUAUAUAUAUAUAUAUAUAUAUAUAUAUAUCAGGAUCUUUCUAACACGAGGUGCUUGCCAAAGGAUAAAAUGAAAAAGGGGAAAGGUGGAGAUCACCUUGACUCUUGCAUAAAGUAACAGACAUAAAGUAGAAGACAGGCCCUUCGCAGAGGGAAGCAGAGGUUGUCAUGCGCUUUUAAGGUUGGAUACACAAAAUCUUAGCGCGAAAGAACGUCACUUUAUAUUGCCACUUGUAUAUGGACCUUUAUUAUGCAGUCCAUCGCUUUUAUUGCUUCCAUAACAAGCUCGUAUAAAGUUUAUUUUCUUCGUACUAAUAAGUCAUCCAUAUUUAGAGAGCAAUUUUUAUUGCUUGCACCGAUGACAACUUACUUGAAGGAUCUUACUCAAUCCAUAGGUAGAUAUGGUGGACUCUCAUGGCAAAACUGGGUUUAAGGAUAUUUGGAAGCAACAGUAGUAUCUCUACUUGGUGCUAGAAAUUUUGGCUAGCAUGAGGGGGAAAGGCAAGCUCAACAUGUUUGAAUGAUCUAUGACAAUAUACUUUAACUGAGAUGCGAGAAAACAUAAACCAUUACGUUGUCUUCCUUGUCCAACUUCAACUCUUUAGCAUGUCAUACUUUAAUGAGUGCUCACAAUCAUAAAAGAUGUCCAAGAUAGUAUAUUCAUAUGUGAAAACCUCCCUUUCCUUAUUACUUCCUAUUAAUUGCACGAUAACCAAAACUAAGUUUAUCAGUUCUCAACAACUUUUAAGCCUCAUACUUUCUAUGUGUGAAGUCAUUACUAUCCAUAAGAUCAAUAUGAACUCUUUUAUUAUUUUUAUUCUUUCUAUUUUUUUCUCAAGAUCAUAGCAAGAUAGCAAAGCCCUUUGACUCAACACUGAUCUUUAUUAUAGAUAACUCACGGACUCGAUUACAUAGUGAUCACAAAGCAAAACUCAAAACUAAUUCAUACCAAGACUUCAAUCUACUAGAUCAAAAUAUUACUAAAAGGAUCGAACUAAGUAGACGGUAAAGAUAGGAGUGUGAUGGUGAUACGAUACCGGGGCACCUCCCCCAAGCUUGGCAGUUUCCAAGGGGAGUGCCCAUACCCAUGUGAUUAUGUCUUUGGAGGUGGUGAACGUGGUGAUGAUGUAGGCUUGCUUCUCAGCUUGCGCUUGAGAACGGAAUUUUGCUCCCUUAGAUCAUCGAUCUCCCGCUCGAGGUUUAAUAUUCUUUUGCACAAAUCCUGUUUGUUUUCCUGCAAGAGACGAAAAGGGAUAAACUCGAUCUCGGGCUUCUUUGCUCUAUCUGGAAGGCUUGACUUUUUAAACUCCACGUGCAUAUCCCCUGGUUGAGGUAAUGGGACUUCGUCUUCGUCUGAGCUUGUCUCCUGCUUUCCCUUAGGCUCAUGGUCUUCUUCUUCCUCAGUGGUCCAGCCACAAUGGUCCAAGUCCCCGUAAACCCUAGGGUCUGCAAGGUAGUCAGCCACAUAGCUUUCUCCCUUCGAAUCCUGAAAUGACAUAUUGCUCUAAAUCUGCGACAGAAACAGCUUGGAGCAAAGACAGAAGAUUUUUGCGUGAUACGNNNNNNNNNNNNNNNNNNNNNNNNNNNNNNNNNNNNNNNNNNNNNNNNNNNNNNNNNNNNNNNNNNNNNNNNNNNNNNNNNNNNNUGGUCAAAACCUUCGGGGGAUUAUAUAAAUAAAUUUUUACCGACCAAAAUACAUAAUGUGCAAGAAAACGGAGUCCGGGAGGCACACGGGCGUCGACAAGACAGGGGGCGCGCCCUAAAGGGGGGGGGCCUCCACCCUCGUGGAUGCCUCGUGUCCUUCCCGGAUUACUUCUUUCUUCCAUAAAUUUUUAAAUAAUCCAAAACGGAGGAAAAUUGCCAUUAGAAUUGUUUUGGAGUCGGUUUACUUACCAUACCACAUACCUAUUCCUUUUCGGAGUCUGAAACGUUCUGGAAAGUGUCCCUUAUGUAUUCCUCCGGGGUUACAGUUUCAAUAAUAUUUAUUUCAACAUUAAUAGGAUUACCUGAGAUAUUAUGUUUGAUUCUUUGACCGUUUACCACCCUCGGACUUGUGCCUUCGAAGUUGUUGAUUUUUAUGGCACCGGAACAAUAGACCUCCUCGAUAAUGUAAGGACCUUCCCAUUUAGAGAGAAGUUUUCCUGCAAAAAAUCUUAAANNNNNNNNNNGUAUCCUUUUGUCAUGCCAUCUUUUAACUUUUUCUUUAACUAGCUUGGCAUUUUCAUAUGCUUGGGUUCUCCAUUCAUCAAGUGAGCUAAUGUCAAAUAACCUUUUCUCACCAGCAAGUUUAAAAUCAUAGUUGAGCUCUUUAAUGGCCCAAUAUGCCUUAUGUUCAAGUUCAAGAGGUAAGUGACACGCUUUUCCAUAAACCAUCUUAUACGGAGACAUACCCAUAGGAUUUUUAUAUGCAGUUCUAUAGGCCCAUAAUGCAUCAUCAAGUUUCUUGGACCAAGUCUUUCUAGAUCUAUUAACAGUCAUUUGCAAAAUUAAUUUGAGCUCUCUAUUACUUAACUCUACUUGCCCACUAGACUGUGCGUGAUAAGGAGAUGUGAUUCUAUGAUUGACAUCAUACUUAGCAAGCAUUUUACGGAAAGCACCAUGAAUAAAAUGUGAACCACCAUCAGUCAUAAGAUAUCUCGGGACUCCAAACCUCGGAAAAAUAACUUCUUUAAGCAUCUUAAUAGAGGUGUUAUGAUCAGCACUACUAGUUGCAAUAGCUUCUACCCACUCAGUAACAUAAUCAACAGCAACUAAAAUAUGUGUAUAUCCAUUAGAGGCAGGAAAAGGUCCCAUAUAAUCAAAGCCCCAAACAUCAAAUGGUUCAAUAACAAGAGAAUAAUUCAUAGGCAUUUCUUGAUGUCUACUAAUAUUGCCAAUUCUUUGACAUUCAUCGCAAGACAAAACAAACUUACGGGCAUCUUUGAAGAGAGUAGGCCAAUAAAAACCGGAUUGCAAUACCUUAUGUGCAGUUCUGUCUCCAGCGUGGUGUCCUCCAUAUGAUUCAGAGUGACACUUGUGUAGGAUCUGUUCCUGUUCAUGCUCAGGUACAAAACGUCUAAUAACACCAUCUACUCCUUUAUAUAGGUGUGGGUCAUCCCAGAAGUAAUGUCUUAAGUCAUAAAAGAACUUUUUCUUUUACUGGUAUGUGAAACUAGGUGGUAUGGAUUUAGCAAAAAUAUAAUUAGCAUAAUCAGCAUACCAUGGAGCAGUACGAGAAGCAUUAAUGACCGCUAAUUGUUCAUCAGGAAAGCUAUCAUCAAUAGGUAGUGGGUCAUCAAGAACAUUCUCUAGCCUCGACAAGUUGUUUGCAACAGGGUUCUCAGCUCCUUUUUUAUCAAUAAUAUGCAAAUCAAUUUCUUGAAGCAAGAGAACCCAUCUAAUAAGUCUAGGUUUAGCAUUUUCUUUUCCAUAAGAUAUUUAAUAGCAGCAUGAUCAGUGUGAAUAGUAACUUUAGAAUUAACAAUGUAAGGUCUGAACUUAUCACAAGCAAAUACAACUGCUAAGAAUUCUUUUUCAGUAGUAGCAUAAUUUCUCUGGGCAGAAUCAAGAGUCUUACUAGCAUAUGAAUCUUUUAAUUUCUUAUCAACUCUCUUCCCUAGAACAGCACCUACAGCAUAAUCACUAGCAUCACACAUAAUUUCAAAAGGUAAAUUCCAAUCAGGUGGCUGAACAACGGGUGCAGUGAUCAAAGCUUUCUUAAUAUUUCAAAUGCUUCUACACAAUCAUCAUCAAAGACAAACGGAAUAUCUUUUUGCAAUAAAUUAGUCAAAGGCCUAGAUAUUUUAGAAAAGUCCUUAAUGAACCUCCUAUAAAAACCGGCAUGACCAAGGAAACUUAUUAUACAUUUAAUGUCCUUGGGACAUGACAUCUUUUCAAUAGCAUCAACUUUAGCUUUAUCAACUUCAAUACCUCUUUCAAAACUUUUAUGCCCCAAGACAAUGCCUUCAUUAACCAUAAAGUGACACUUUUCCCAAUUUAGGACGAGACUAGUGUCUUCACAUCUCUGCAAAACUCGAGCAAGAUUGCCCAAGCAAUCAUCAAAAGAGGAUCCAUAAACGGAGAAGUCAUCCAUGAAUACCUCACAAAUCUUUUCACAAAAGUAAGAGAAUAUAGCCAUCAUGCAUCUUUGAAAGGUAGCAGGUGCAUUGCGUAAACCAAAAGGCAUACGUCUAUAAGCAAAUGUACCAAAAGGGCAAGUAAAAGUAGUUUUUGAUUGAUCUUCCACUGACACAGGUAUUUGAGAGAAACCAGAGUAACCAUCUAGAAAGCAGAAAUGUGUAUGUUUGGAUAGUCUUUCUAGCAUUUGAUCAAUAAAAGGUAAGGGGUAAUGAUCUUUCUUAGUAGCUUUAUUUAAUUUACGGAAAUCAAUUACCAUCCUAUAACCUGUAAUAAUUCUUUGCGGAAUCAAUUCAUCUUUAUCAUUAGGAACAACAGUAAUACCUCCCUUUUUAGGGACACAAUGGACAUGGCUUUCCCAUUCACUAUCAGCAACGGGAUAAAUUAUACCUGCCUCAAGGAGCUUUAAUAUCUCCUUUCUUACCACUUCUUUCAUCUUAGGGUUUAAUCGUCGUUGAGGAUCCCUAACCGGUUUAGUGUCUUUCUCCACUUUUAUUUUGUGCUGGCAUAGAGUAGGACUAAUGCCCUUAAGAUCAUCCAGAGUAUAUCCAAUAGCAGCACGGUGCUUCUUCAGAGUUUUCAAUAAUCUUUCCUCUUCCUGUUCUGAAAGGUUAGCACUAAUAAUAACAGGAUAUAUCUUCUUUUCAUCAAGAUAAGCAUAUUUAAGAUUAUCCGGUAAUGGUUUUAGCUCAAACACGAGAUCACCCUUGGGUGGAGGAGGAUCCCCUAGGAUUUCAACAGGUAAGUUGUGUUUCAAGAUAGGCACCUGCUUAAGGAAUACUUCGUCUAUUUCCCUUCGUUCAUUCAUAAACAUAUCAUUUUCAUGGUCUAGCAAAUAUUGUUCUAACGGAUCAGUAGGAGGCACGGCAAUAGAAGCAAGACCAAUUAUUUCAUCUUUACUAGGUAACUCUUUAUCAUGGGGUUGUCUACGAAAUUUAGAAAAAUUAAACUCAUGGGUCUUAUCAUCCAAGCCAAUCGUAACAACAUCCUUUUCACAAUCAAUCCUAGAAUUAACAGUUUUCAAGAAGGGUCUACCAAAUAAAAUGGGACAAAAGUCAUCUUGUGGGGAACCAAGAACAAGAAAAUCAGCAGGGUAUUUGACUUUCCCACACAAGACUUCAACAUCUCUAACAAUACCAACUGGUGAAAUAGUAUCUCUAUUGGCAAGCUUAAUAGUAACAUCAAUAUCUUCUAUUUCAGCGGGUGCAAUAUCAUACAUAAUUUCUUGGUAUAAGGAAAUAGGUAUUGCACUAGCACUAGCACCCAUAUCAUACAAGCCAUGAUAANNNNNNNNNNNNNNNNNNNNNNNNNNNNNNNNNNNNNNNNNNNNNNNNNNNNNNNNNNNNNNNNNNNNNNNNNNNNNNNNNNNNNNNNNNNNNNNNNNNNUUUUUUUUUAAAGAACAGUUCACAUACCUCGACAUAAAUUCAGAAGAUAAGCUUGCCUGCUCAACCAGUACAUCAUACUAGCACAUCUUGAUCAGCUACAUGGCACCACCAAUGCCUGCUUCGGUAAUCAUGAAAAGUCAAACAACCAAUAACAUUCAAAUGGAAAGCUAAAUAGAUACAAGGUGGAAUCAACAAGAUAUUUGGAUAACUCACAACUGUAAUUUGGGGGAAAUAACUCAGUUCUGACACGACACUAGGAAUAGAUAAAGAAAAUAACACAGCCUGUCAAAUUUCAAUAUUACAAAACAGUACAUUAUGAUUAAUAUUGUGAAAAUGAAGGACACACACACUCAGGCUAAUAGCUGAUCAGAAUAGACAUGUUAUCCAGAAUUAAUAAAAUUGUUAUACGCCAUACCAAAAACAGUAAAAUAUGCUCAUACCAAUAAAUCAUAGCAACCAACGUGAUCCUGACUAUAAAAGAAGAGAUUAUCUUUAAAUAUAUUUAGCCUGAGAAAUGAAAUGAAAACAUUUUUUGCGGUUCAUUGGUACAAAUGGAUUUGCCACUCGCAGCAGGAAUCUCCAACAAGAGAUGAGAUUAAAAAUUAUGCAUUCAUUUACAACAAAUUCAUCAUUACCAAUUCAAGAAUAUAAGCCCCAAUAACAGUAUCAAAUGAACAAAUAUAACUAGAUUUAAAAGUCCAGAAAUACUUAUUGAGCACUAUUUGACAUUUCAGUUGGUUCAAGCUAUGUUUUCAUGCAGUUGUUUUCAACAUAAGAAAAAACUAUAACACAGAACUAAUGCUACCAGUAUUCAAUUCCUGAAUAUGUCAACAGGCAGCAAUAGUGAAAUCUAGUUCAGUAAUUACAGGGGGAAAAAUCCAGUCUUCGUGUUCAUCAUAUUACUGAAUAGAUAUUCAUAUAAUAAACUGAUAAAGACAGUUCGCUAUCUCUGACUUGAACCACAUAGUUCAACAAAUACCAAUACGUGAUAACGUGAAAUUGCAUGCUACAUAUUUGUUGACAAACAACAUAAUGAUGAACUGGUGACAUCACAAGCAUAAAGGACACUAGCAGAUUAGCAACCAGUAACAUAUGUGAAUCCAGACCAGAACCAUCAAAUAAAUCUACCACACAAGCAUCAGAAUAGAAGCACUACAUAACAAAUCCGCCAUAUGUUGAACAGGUCAUCAAGCAGCAAAAGAAACACUUAAUAUGACACUACUUAAAAUUGUUAGCUUAAUUAACAAAUGGAUGUGUAAGGCCAUCAACCAAUUACUGAAAAUAGACAUGAUUUUGUUAUGACCAGAAUCUGAUGGCAUGCUAUUACCUGCAGCAUAGACACUUUCAAAUGGAUAACAGACAAUAGCGUUGUUGCUUUCAGGAAGUUUACUGAACUGCAAUGACUCAAGGUGGACCAUGAAGAUACCGGCAACUGUACGCAAGAAAGCCACAUUAUUUUCCUCAGCGUAAGCUAGCAUCGAUAUGUAGCUUGUCUUAUCUGAAGACAGGGGAAGUAGCUUGUCCAGUUCAAAAGUUUGUCCCAGCACCCAUGAAACAACACCAUCACUGUUGAUAUUCCUCUUCCAUGACUCAGCCCUGAAUUCUGACAGGGAGAGUAUGCCCAAACUGCAACCCUCUGCUCGCAUAACCAUCAAGAACUGACCUUUGGCAAACAUAUUUGCUGGCACCUGUAUCACAGCUAGAAUCUGGCUAUGCAAAUCAACUUCAAGAAUUACACUUAUAUCAUCCCCAGGGAGCAGCCAGUAAAUGGAAUGCCCGACCAGCAGCAGCGCGAAGCACCGCCCCGUCCAUCGGGGUACUGUUCAUGUCGAACCCCAGGGGAGCGGCAAUGCGGUGCUGGUCGCCGGUGACGGGGUCCCACACCAGGACCUGGUUCCGCAACGAGUGGGAGAUGAGCACGAGGCCGUGGCGGCAGCUGAGGAGACGGAAGCGGCAGCCGGCGUCGUGGAGAUGCACGGAGAAGCGGUCGGCGGGAACAAGAUCGGGGGCCUCCAUGGCAGGCGUGUAGGAGAUACCUCGCAGGUCGUUGCGGAAGAAACCGAGGAGGGGAGGGCUGCGGCGGUGGUGUCGACGGUAGCGGCGGAGGAAGCCGCGGUUGGAGACGAGGCGGAGCCAGCGCUUGCAGACGGCGGAGGCGCGGGGGAGAGAGGACGGCUGCGGCGGGAGGCGGAGGAGGAUCUCGGGGAGCAGAUCCUCGUCUUCCAGCGGCGAGCGGGGGCGGUGGUGGAGGGUGGCCGACAUCUCGCCGUCCUGCGUGCUCAUUGGGGCGGCGGCGGCGGCGGCGGAGUCUAGGGUGGGGUGCAGCCGCAAUGGGGAAAGUUUUUUUUUAGAGCAAAGCAAAGCUUUAUUACUUAACUGAGCUUAGGCAUAUCGCCUAUUACAGAGGCGCCCACUUGGGCAGGUACAUCCGAGUCCCAUUCCAUGUACUGGUUGGGAUCACAACUACGGCCAAUUGUGGCAAGAUCGUGGGCUAUAGAAUUCGUCGUGCGUCUACACACGGUGAUUGCAACCUUGGCAAACCAAAGCUUGAGCUGGUACUUCGUAUCCUCAAUGAUAGCAGCGUAUGCGGAGGAAUCAACUCUUUGCAAAUCCAAGGCUUCAGCUAGGAGUUGGGAGUCCGUCUCCAGUUCAAGCCGAAUGAUGCCGAGGUCCGCAGCCGUGGUGACCGCAUGAUGGCAAACAUCUCCACGACGAAGGCAUCCGUGACGUGUUCCUGCCUGCCAGCCUUGGCGCACACCAGACGUCCAUCCUUCGUUCUCACCGCCACGCCCCAGCCUGCAUGGAAUUCUCCCGGCACAAAAGAUCCGUCAACGUUGAUCUUGUACUCUACAUGCACAGGAGGCCGCCACUUGUCCGGCUACGGCUUCACCGCGGGCUGUCGGAAGAUCUCCCAGUAUUCAAGUGCAUUGGCCCUCGUUUGCCUCGCAAUCACCUCCGCUGUGAGUAGCAUCAGGCCCUGUCGCAGCUUGUUUCUAUUGGCCCACCACAGCCACCAGAAGGUGAGUAUAUGGAGGCGCUUUUUCUCAUCUAAACCCCACAAGAAUUCGAGCAUUGCAUGCACGGACCCUAUACUCUCCAGGUGCGCUCGUUCUCCCUCGAGUGUGAGCUCACGCCACACGCAUUUCACUGAUUUGCACUUGAGGAAAAGGUGUGCUCCGUCCUCAGCCGCCCGCGCACAGAAAAGACAUUUGGUAUCCGUGAUCGGGAUCCCUCUCCGUGCCACAUUUGUACGUAGAGCUAGGGAUUCGUGUUUCAAUCUCCAAGUGAACAUCUGAAUAUUUCGAGGACACGACAACUUCCAAAUCCUUUUCCACGAAUCGUCCUUGAUCUCAUUCAAGUUCCCCGGGUUGGUUGAACUCCGUUCUCCCUCGUUCGCUCAAGCUGAGCCUGUAGCUUGUAAGCACUCUUAACGGAGUGUAAUCCCCUUGUGUCAUAAUGCCAAGCGAUAAAAUCCUGGACACCCUCCCUCAACGGAAUCUGCAUGAUCUGAUUUGCAUCCUCUAUCCAGAAGGUGUCCCGUACGAGCUGCUCAUCCCAGUUGCCGGUGGCCGGAUCAAUAAGAUCGCUAACCCACUCCAGUAGGCAUUGUCCACGCGGUGUAAUCACACCACGAGACCAUGGGCGCGGUAACCACGGGUCACUCCAUAUUUUAACCCCGGUUCCAUCACCUAUUCUCUAGAUAUAUCCCUCCCGAAAGAGGUCAAGACCAUGCAGCAAGCUCCUCCAAGAGUAUGAAAUGCCCUCAACAGGCCUUGCAUCCAGCAGAGAACCGUUCGGGAAGUAACGGGCUUUCAGAAUACGUGCACAUGGGGAAUCUGGUGAUUGAAUGAGCCUCCAAAUAUGCCUCGACAACAUAGCCAAAUUGAAUCCAUGCAUAUCACAGAAUCCAAGACCCCCCUGCGCCUUGGGUAAAAUGAGCUUCUUCCAACUUAUCCAGUGGGUGGUGUUCUCUUUGUCUUGCUGGCUCUACCAAUAAUUGCCUAUGAGAGAACUGAGCUCCUCGCAAAAGGACUUAGUGAGAUAAAAACACGACAUAGCAAAUGUUGGAAUGGCCUGUGCUACUGUGGUGACUAAGGCUUCCUUUCCGGGUUUUGCUAUUAAUUUUUCUUUCCACCCAUAGACUCUGCCCGCCAUGGCCCCUUUUACGAAAGUGAACGCCUUCUUUCUCGACUUACUAACAUGCACCGGCAACCCCAAAUACCUAUCAUUCCAAUUUUCACUUUGGAUCCGGAGGGCGUCCUUCACAGCAGUUCUAGCCUCUCCCCCCGUGUUCGGGCUAAACAUAACUGCCGAUUUCUCCAAGUUAAUACACUGUCCGGAGCAGUUCUCGUAAAGAUCCAAGAUAUCUCUCAGAGCUUGGGCUUCAUCUUGUUUAGCCUUAAGUAGAAGCAUAGAAUCAUCGGCGAACAGUAGAUGGGAGACGACCGGUGAAGUCCGGCAAAGUUUAACUCCGCUCACUGUGCCUGCAGUUUCGGCGUCAUGUAGCAGCGAUGAAAGCCCUUCGGCGCAAAUGACGAACAAAUAUGGUGAUAUUGGGUCUCCUUGCCGGAAACCUCGGGAUGGGGAAAACUGGGCCGUUAAACUACCAUUGAUUUUGAUCUGGUAUUUGACAGUACUGACACAGUUCAUGACUAGAUCGAUCCAGCGUGAUCCAAACCCAACUUUUACAAGCAUGGCCCUCAAGAAGUUCCACUCGACGCGGUCGUAGGCUUUACUCAUGUCCGCCUUCACAGCAACUAUACCUUCUUUUCCUGUCCUCUUGUUCAUCAGGAAGUGUGACAUCUCAUAUGCAAUAAGAACGUUGUCAGUAAUCAGCCUCCCCGGCACAAAGGCACUUUGGUUGUCCGAAAUAAUUUCUGGGAGUACCAACUUGAGCCGAUUCGAAAUGACCUUAGACACCAACUUGUAAACCACGUUACACAAGCUGAUUGGCCUCAGAUCUUUGAUUCUGCUCGGGGAUUUAACUUUGGGUACACUACUAGGGAAAAGCCUAGCAGCAGCGCGGGUUUUGGGCCUAUCAGUAGCGCGGGCAGGAGCGCUACUGAUAAGGCGCUACAGCUAAUGCUUAGCAAUAGCGCGUCUUGACCCACGCUACUGCUAAAUUGACUUAGUAGCAGCGGUUCUUUAGAACAUCGCUACUGAUAAUUAGUAGUAGCGCUUCUCCUUACCCGCGCUACUACUAUUAUUUAGUAUUUUAUUUCUUUUCUUUUUCAUGUUGUAUUCAUACACUUUACACAAGUUUUCAUACAACAGGAAUUUAUAGAUUGUUUUUACAUCAUAAUGAGUUAUUACAUCAUGGGGUGAAAGAACCGUGGACUAGUUUUAAGUGGAUGUCCAUCCACUUGAAACUAAUCCGCGGUUCUUUCACCCAAUGAUAUAAUAAUAUCAUCAUCAUCAUCAUAUCAUUAACAACUUAGCAUCAUAAUACAUCAUUGUCAUAUAACACCUCCUCAAUAUCAUCGUUUUCAUCAUUGACAUCACAUAACACCUCCUCAAGAUCAUCAUUAUCAACUCUAACACAUUACCACAUAAUAAACAUAUUGUACCUCAUAGGACCUAUUACAUUCGAUUAAGACCUACUACAUUUUCUAAGGUAAAAUAACAAAAAACAAGAUAGCCCCUGACUCUCCAUUAUGGAGAAUAGAGAUUAGCCUGUCUCCCAUUCUUGCCUUUCGCUGAAUGUUACUUCCAAGAACCUCCUUGCGAAUGUCCAUACAUUUCUUCCAUUCUCUGAUGAUCAUGUGUUCACGGGUUUUAGAAAUCCGAUAUGCACAGGUGAGCUCCGUAGAUUUACCUGGCAGUAUGUUCAGAACUGAGAGGCGACCAUGCAGAGACAUCAGAUGAGGCACACAAUCCAUCGGGAGUUUCUGUUGAAAAACAUAAUAAUAACUUCGUAGUUAGCAAUGAUGUACUAGUUUUAGAAGUAUGCAAAAAAUGCACGGAUGUCGUAAUAGUAAAAAAUCUUACCAGGGUAUCUCCAGAGAAGUUAUCGUUGUUCAACACAUGCACUAGUGGCACGUAUUCACCAUAAUUUGGAGGAGUUCGAUAAUAGUCAUUGUAAUUCUCAAGAAGAGUACAAAAUGCAAUCAGAUGAUUUUUCUCCUUAUACGUUAAUUGGGUGCCUUCGGUGUAGUGGGUUUUAUCUACCAUCUUCCUGUUGGGGAACGUAGUAAUUUCAAAAAAAUCCUGAUCUAACCAAACUGACCCCAUGGAUUUCAUUUCUGCUCAUCCUGAUCUAACCAAACUGACCCCAUGGAUUUGAGAUUGCCGUGCCUAUCAGGUUUGGACAUGUUCUUAUUUGUACUGCUACUAAAUCACAAAACUAAUAAACUAUAUAAAUAAAAUAGCUCCCCACCUUUCCAACAACUUAUUUUAUUUUUAGAGUGAGCAACGACAUGUUAUCAUACUCUGUUUCUUGUGAGCAGUACGUCAGUUUAGAUUGACGUAUACUCUUUGGUGCCGUGCCUAUCAGGUUUGGACAUGUUCUUAUUUGCACUAAAUCACAAAACUAAACUGUAUAAAUAAAAUAGCCCCCCUCCUUUCCAACAACUUAUUUUAUUUUUAGAGUGAGCAACGACGUGUUAUCAUACUCUGUUUCUUGUGAGCAGUACGUCAGUUUAGAUUGACGUAUACUCUUUGGUAUAUAGCAUUUUUGCCUACCUCUUACCUAUUUCACAUAGAAUAGAUGAUUUGCUUUGGCGAGGGAUUAGAUAAGGCCUAUGAGUCCUAGGUAAGCGUGAUGAGCAUGUCCUGCACUUUUAUUUACUAUUAAGCACCAACUGAAUUUCUGAUAAUGACGUUUCAGGAAUGACACAAUCAAUCCAACUGUUACCUUUGGGGUGCUUUUUGGAUGGACUAAUCUGAAGAUGUUGGCUAGCUUGCACCGCCAUCAUAUAAUCUAGAAGCAAGGGCAAGGAUUAUAGGGAAAAUAAAGGUACAAUGCUCCCAGUAUAUUUUACUUUUUGGCAAAGUUUUGGUGCUUGCGCAAGAAAGUAACACCAUCAUUAUAGGCUUAUUUUAUUUUAUCUUAGUUCAUGCACUAAUGCAUAAAUCUUUUGGUAUUGCCCUUAUUAUUUAGUCUAGAGCUAUGCAAUGACAACCAUGGCUUUAGUGUUCAGGUGAGUUCCAUUUAUAGAGUGAAGAACCCUUGGCAUCUUAUCUAAAUUCUUUGAUCCUAGAUAUUGUGUAUACCCAGUUAAGUACCUUAUACCAGUACCUUAAUUAGCCUCUUCUGACUAUUGAUUGUUUGAACUGUUGUAGUAGGACUCAGACUUUCAAUGUUAUUAGGCUUGUGGACAUGUUUUUAUUUUAGAUUGUUCAGUAUUGGGUUCUUUUGGCUUCUGGUUGCUGCUGCACAAAAAGUACACUAAACUCAGAUGAUGCAUGAAAAAAACUGCAGACCUAACAUAGUUUUUGUAUUCUGAUUUUUUGUGAUGCCCUUAUGUUAAAAUGCUUAUUUGUUCUCCAAGUAGGCCAACGACGNNNNNNNNNNNNNNNNNNNNNNNNNNNNNNNNNNNNNNNNNNNNNNNNNNNNNNNNNNNNNNNNNNNNNNNNNNNNNNNNNNNNNNNNNNNNNNNNNNNNUUUUCUCGUGAGCGCAAAGUUUCUGUUUUUCAGCAGAAUCAAAUCAACUAUCAUCAUAGUUUAUCCUAUAGGUUCUACUUGGCACAAUCACUAAUUAAAAGCUAAAAACACAUCUAAACAUAAAGUAGAAACAAAAUUUAACACUUGGAACAAAAACAAAGAACACAAAGAAAAUUGAGUUGCCUCCCAACUAGCGCUAUUGUUUAACGCCCCUAGCUAGGCAUAAAAGCAAGGAUAGAUCUAACGAGUGCCAUAAUAAUAAGAUAGGUCUUGAAAACUCAUCUCAUAUUCUCUACAUUCAGCAGCAAGUUUCCUUUGAGGCAUGAAAAAAUAAUCAAAAGUGCUAAAUUUAGUGGGACAAAAGUCCCCAAGAUCAACCUCAGGAGGCACAGGUUCCUCCCUUGGCCCUUCAUAAUGCACAACUAAUUCAUCACUAAAAGCAUUCUUUUGGCAAAAUCUUGUGAGCCUAUACUCGAGAGAGUAUCCUAGCUCAUUAUUUCGAAGAGCAAAAUCAUUAUUAAGUUUGGAAAUUCUAUCAAUCAAGACAUUGGUAGGAACCUUUUUUCUAAGGUUUUCAUUGAAAGCAACAUAGUCCGAAGAUUGAAAACGCCUAAUUUCCUCUUGAUCAAAGAGGACCGCCUCUAUGGGAGGACGACCGGCGUCCACCCUAUAGUGCGCAAAGAUUUCUUUGGCCUCUCUUAUUAUAAAUCUAAACUCAUGAGCCAAAAAGAUAGUAACAACGCGCUUAAUAGAAGAAUACUCAAUAUUGGAAAAUUCUAGGAAAAUCCUUUGUAUGCAAGGAUGCAUAUGCAUAAAUUGUCUCUCAAGUUCAACUAUAAGCAUAGUGAUAGCAUCCUCAAGACUACUAGUUUUAUGAAUAACACCUUUUCCAAUAAUGUUACCACUACCAAUUCGAAAUGUUUUAAUAUGCAAGAUAGGGGGUUCUUCGGCCGGGGCCUCUGAAUUUUUCAUGUUAUCAUUAUUGUCCAUAUCGACGUUAAUCUCCCCAAUUUCCAGACAUAACGGCAAACAAGGGCGAGCAAAGCGAAAGAGAGGAGGAGAUUGGGAAAGAGAGGGCAAAUAAAACGGCAAGGUUGACGUGGGGGAGAGGAAAACGAGAGGCAAAUGGCAAAUAAUGUAAAUGUGAGGGAGAUGAGUUUGUGAUGGGUACUUGGUAUGUCUUGACUUGAGCGAAGACCUCCCCGGCAACGGCGCCAGAAAUCCUUCUUGCUAUGUCUGGAGCUUGCGUUGGUUUACCUCGAAGAGGAGAGGGUGAUGCAACAAUAGUAGCGUAAGUAUUUCCCUCAGUUUUUGAGAACCAAGGUAUCAAUCUAGUAGGAGGGUCCUCAACAAGUCCCAUGAACCUACACAAACAAACAAAGAACUCGCAACCAACACGAUAAAGGGGUUGUCAAUCCCUUCACGGCCACUUGCAAAAGUGAGAUCUGAUAGAGAUAGUAUAAUAAGAUAAAUAUAUUUUUGGUAUUUUAUAAUAUAGAUGCAGAAAAUAAAGAUGCAAAUAAAAGUAGAUUGAAAGCAAAUAUGAUAAGAGAUUGACCCGGGGGCCAUAGGUUUCACUAGAGGCUUCUCUCGAGAGCAUAACUAUUACGGUGGGUGAACAAAUUACUGUCGAGCAAUUGAUAGAAAAGAGAAUAAUUAUGACGUUAUCUAGGCAUGAUCAUGUAUAUAGGCAUCACAUCCAUAACAAGUAGACCGACUCCAUCCUGCAUCUACUACUAUUACUCCACACAUCAACCGCUAACCAGCAUGCAUCUACUACUAUUACUCCACAAAUCAACCGCUAUCCAGCAUGCAUCUAGAGUAUUAAGUUCAUAAGAACAGAGUAACGCAUUAAGCAAGAUGACAUGAUGUAGAAGGAUAAACUCAAGCAAUACGAUAUAAACCCCAUCUUCUUAUCCUCGAUGGCAAUAUACAAUACGUGUCUUGCAACCCUUUCUGUAACUGGGAAAGAACACCGAAAGAUUGAACCCAAAGCUAAGCACUUCUCCCAUGGCAAGAAAGAUCAAUCUAGUAGGCCAAACCAAACCGAUAAUUCGAAGAGACUUGAAAAGAUAACUCAAUCAUAUAAAAUAAUUCAGUGAAGAUUCAAUUAUUAUCCAUAGAUAAAUCUGAUCAUAAACCCACAAUUCAUCGGAUCUCGAGAAACACACGGCAAAAAGAGAUUACAUCGAAUAGUUCUCCACAAGAGAGGGGGAGAACAUUGUAUUGAGAUCCAAAAAGAGAGAAGAAGCCAUCUAGCUAAUAACUAUGGACCCGUAGGUCUGUGGUAAACUACUGACAACUGAUCGGAGAGGCAAGGGUGUUGAUGUAGAAGCCCUCCAUGGUCGAUUCCCCCUCCGGCAGAGUGUCCAUGAAGGCUCCAAGAUGGGAUCUCGUGGAUAUAGAAGGUUAUGGUGGUUGAAAUUGUGUUUCGUCCUACCCCUGGAUGUUUUUGGGGUACGUAGGCUUACAUAGGAGGAAGAAGUACGUCGGUGGCCGCCCGAGGGGCCCACGAGACAGGGGGCGCGCCCUACAGGGGGGCGCCCUCCUAUCUCGUGGGAGCCUUGGCUGCUUCUUGACUUGCACUCCAAGUCCUCUGGAUCACGUUCGUUCCAAAAAUCACGCUCCCGAAGGUUUCAGUCUGUUUGGACUCCGUUUAAUAUUCCUUUUCUUUGAAAUACUGAAAUAGGCAAAAAUACAGCAAUACGGGCUGGGCCUCUGGUUAAUAGGUUAGUCCCAAAAAUGAUAUAAAUAUUUAAAAUAAAGCCCAUAAACAUCCAAAGGGGGUAAUAUAAUAGCAUGGAACAAUCAAAAAUUAUAGAUACGUUGGAGUGGUAUCAGCGUCCUGCGUGCACUUCUUCUUUAGGUGCAGGUGCGUACGUGGGUGGGUGUGAGAGAGAUGGUUUGUGCGAAACAGAGGCAAUGUGUUGAUGAUAUCUCAAUCAGAAAACCGUAACAUAUGCAAUGUGUGUGAAACGGAGUCAUGGACGUGAGAUAUCGAUAGAAUUGAAAACAGGGAUGAAGUGUGUGGCUAAGCGAUCGAUAAAGAGUGCCAUCGAAUUUGUGUUUGCCCACGUCAAAGAUACACGACGGCUGGCCUACUAGAAUUUGAGAGGGCAAAGGUGCAGUUCUUCUCCGUGGCAUGGAUACCUACCUACAACGUUCAACUAUCAGUGUUUGUGGGGGUGGGGGGGUAGAGACCGGUCGACUAGUAUAUGUGUGGGGAAGGAGAGAGACCUAGCUAUGUAUUGAGGGAGAUCGAUUGACAUCCAUGGAUAUGUGUAGCAGAGGAAUAAGGUUGGGAAAAAGACAAAGGUAGAGCAUCGGAGGGUUGGUGGUGGAGUGGCGUCUCACAAAUGGUGGGAGAGGCCUGCAAGACAAACGUAGGGUAUGAGUGCAAUAUCAAUAAGAGAGGGCGGGGGAUGUCUAUCUGUCUAUGCAUGUGCGUGUGAGAGACGGGUCAGGAGGUAUUCAAGGUUGAUGAUGGGAGAAGAUAUGGUUGUGGUAAGCAUGCGUAACUACAUAGGAAGAUCAACCUUCGUGUGUACGAGAAAAGGAGACACAUAACUAGUGAGGUAAGUGUAUCAGUGCUUGGUGAAAACAAAUUAUAGUCGACCUGACUAUAUGUAGGGAGAUCAGUUCAUAUACACGCUUGCAUGUGUUAGAAGCAAAUAAGGUCCGGAGAGGCAGACAGGGGGAGAGGGUGUGACUAGGAGGUGGUGCGAGAGGCCUACCAUGUCAGGGGGGAGGAGUGUGCGAGCAUGUGAUAAAUGAAAAGAGGGGUGGGAGUGUGCACCUGCCUGGAAUCGUAUUGGACAUAUGGAGGCAUGGAUGGUGAGAAGAGAAGAGGGGAAGUAUAUAUGUGUUUGUUGUAGGCACACUUGGCUAGAGAGGUAUAUCGACCGGUGUGUGCCAGAAAGAAGGAGCCGGGGGCCUACACACACCGUUGGUGGAAGACCUAAAGAGAAAUAAUGAACGUGCGUGAUGGAGGGGACUCUAAGGGUGUGUGAGGGGGGCGCGCGUGUGCAUGCACGAUAGAAAGUUAGCACUAGCUAGCUACAAAUAGAAGAGUAUCGUGAAGGUGUAAAAGACUAACAAAGAUCAUAAUUCAUUAUAAAAAAGUGGAUACGGAUACUUGAAGAAGAUAUCAUAAUGUAGAACAUUGAUUAUAAUUUGGGCUAAUGUGUGGCUUUUGCAGCUCAGGUCUAAAUACUUAUCAUAAUGUAGGGGGCGGGGCACUAUACUUUGUAUGAUAAACACGGUGUACGUAUGGAAAAUGGUUUAGAUUAUGAAUGUAUAGUUAGUACAUCAAAUGUACUAUUAUUUGGAAUCAACGUCAAGUGUAUUCAAAAAACAGAAUUCGAGUUCAUGUAGUACACAUAGUUCAUAUCUAUCUCUAGAGUAAUCAUGUCGUGUGUUAUUAAGGUAAUACACGAAUAAUGGUUGAAGUUGGCAACAAUCAUGAUUGUAGAUUCUUAUUGAAAUAGAGAAACAAAUUCAAAUUUAGUUCAAAUUGCAGCGGUAGUAUAGACAUUUGGAAUGCACUAAAAUGUUGGUAUGAGUAGGUUACAUGCAUUAUACAGCAAGCGAAAAAAAUUAAUCGGACAUACAUGGAUUCAUACUCCCUCCUUCCAUCUAUAUAGGGUGUAAUGAGAUUUUUAAGACCGCCUUUGACUAUUGACAAGAUUAAUAGUACAUGACAUGCACAAUGUGAAAAUUAUAUCAUUGUAAGAACCUUUCACAGACGAAUUUAACAGUGUGCUUUGUGUAAGUUGCAUGUCAUAUAUCAUUGCUCUAAUAUUUGGUCAAUGUUAGCAUCGAAAAACGCAUUAAGCCCUAUAUAGAUGGAAGGAGGGAGUAGCUUUGAAUAGCAUUUGUAUAGUAAAAUGGGGCAAGACUCUCUCUUUGUGUGGUGUGAAUAGUUUUAUUUUUUUCGUUUUCUUUUUGGUUGAGGGAAGUGCGAAUUAAUUUGGUAUGUACAAGUACAAUAUUACUACACGUUAGGCUUGUCCCUAAAAUUCAACCCGCGUCUUGUUAUAUCCCAAAAAUUCAGAUAUCGUGCUCUCAAAAUUGGCGCCUUCACAACCCGCGCCUUGCUAUCCCGAAAUUACAACACGCGCGAAAACUUCCUCCAGCUGUCAAAUCCCGACAUGCGAAAUCCCCCUUCUAACCCUGAGCCGAAAGGGCCGCUAGUUCAAAUUGGUGGGGGGGNNNNNNNNNNNNNNNNNNNNNNNNNNNNNNNNNNNNNNNNNNNNNNNNNNNNNNNNNNNNNNNNNNNNNNNNNNNNNNNNNNNNNNNNNNNNNNNNNNNNUUUUUUUUUCUAGAAUGGCAUGCCUGCAUAUUGAUAAAAAAAAUUGGCUGUGUAUAAUCAGCUCUCCUCUACGAGAACAUAGAUACAUAGAAAGUGUAGUUAAUGCAAUGGAGGGUGCACACAGAUGUGCAUUGUUUAUAUCAGACAGGGCAAAUUUGACUAAUGUUGGUUGAGGUGGAGCAGAGUCUUGCGAGAAUCUAUGACUCACUGAGCCUUAAUUUUCUUUCCUGCAGCAGUUGACUCCUCAUACUGUUCUCUUCUGACCGGUAGAGUAGCUACAAUCUCCUUGCACCUGACUGGCAUUCUUCUUCCUCUUCCACACUAUAAAGUCCCCCUGUUCAUACUACUUAAAACAAAAGGACCACUGCUACAAUAGUUGUCCGUUCGCCUUGACCGAACUCUCGUCUGAAUGUGGCCGGCCGUCCUGGCAGGCGACUACGCAAGAGACCAACGAGAAGACUGGCCCACAGAUCAGUGACGGUAAUGUGGUGUGUCCAGUUCACUCAACAACAGCUCCUGAUGCCGCGAUUUCUUCACCGACGAUGUUGCUUUUUUUCCUGGCCGCAGGCAGUUUCCCUGCAGAUCCUGACGACUUGACCUCUGCUUCUCUGAGUCAUAUGUACACACAUACACACCUGCACACUUGAGUAUUAGUUUUGCACAGGUCCACUGAAAAACUUGCACAUGGCAAGCUUACAUGACGCAAAUACUGUGUUCGGAGCCAAUAUGAUUUCGUUAACUACUGCAAGCGAGUUGUCUAUAUAUACGUGCAGGCACAUCGCCCAUAGCAACCUAAGCUACGGCUAAUUCCGCUAGCAAAAAGAGUGACAAUAGCAAGCAAGCGAGGCACAGGGGUGAGCUAGCUAGUAGAGUCCACUCGGCGGGCAUGGCCAUGGAGUUCGCCACGGGAGCGAUGAGUGCCCUCCUCCCCAAGCUGGGCGAGCUGCUCCGGGAGGAGUAUCACCUCAAGAAGCGUGUGAAGCAGGGGAUCAAGGACCUCAAGGCCGAGCUCGAAAGCAUGCGAACUGCCCUCGUCAAGGUGUCCAACGUCCCCUUGGACCAGCUUGAUCCGCUGGUCAAGCUUUGGGCCAAUGAGGUCAGAGAGCUAUCUUAUGUCAUCGAGGACAGCCUCGACUCCUUCAUGGUGUUCUUCCAAGGACUUGAGCCAACCAAGCCCCACACCACCUUUGUGGCUUUCAUCAACAAUAUGCGCAACAAGAUCACUGAGUUCAAGAUGCGCCACAAAAUAGCCAAUGACAUCAAAGACAUCGAGAGCCAGGUCACGAAGGUGAAGGAAAGGUAUGAUCGGUACAAGGUCCACGGUGUUGCUGCUAAUCUUGCCACAACCAUGGUUGACCCUCGUCUAUCAGUCAUGUAUAACAAGGUGUCUAACCUUGUUGGCAUUGACAAGCCAAUUGAUGAGAUAAUGAAGAGCUUGUCCGAGGGCUGUCAUAUGGCCGAGAGAUCAAAGCUCAAGACCGUCUCCAUUGUUGGAUUUGGAGGGUUGGGCAAGACAACUCUUGCCAAAGCGGAAUAUGACAAGCUUAACAAGAAAUUCGACUGCGUUGCUUUCGUCCCAGUGGGUCAGAAUCCUGACAUGAAAAAAGUUCUUGGGGACAUCAUUCAUGAACUUGGCCUGCAAAUGUGUAAUGUUGCAUCGGUGAUGGAUGUAAGGCAGCUCAUCAAUCAUCUGCGCAAAUUCCUUUUGAAUAAGAGGUACACACUACUCCACCUUAUGCUAGUCAAUGCAGUCUUCAUGUGACAUAUGCCUAAUAAUAGGUGUGUCACCAUAAUAAUUGUGUUUAAUUACCAUCAAAUUGCACUCACAGAUGUCAUCCAGUACUUUGUGGAUUUUCAUAUAUACAGAUUAAUUACAUGAUGGUUGUUGUGGAGUCAACUCUCUCCAUUUUGUUGUGUAUAUAGAUAAAAGCAUCUUGACUAGCCAUCUGAAAAUGAUAGCAUGUUUCAUACUAGAGUUUAAGAUGGCAAUUAAUAUACAAUAUUUGGAAACCAAACUACCCAAAGCAUACCUUAGAGCUCAUACAACUUAUAAACAUAAGAAAAUGAUGGCAAUUUUCUUCUUGAAGUUCAAUACAGAAAUGUUAAUAAAUCCUUCAUUUGUGAUUACCUGGAUAGGAUUACUUGCCCUUUUGUUUUCCCACAUUUACAUCUUAAGUGCUCCUUUCGGGUCAGGACUUUUUUUAUGCGUUUGUCAUGCCUUUUUGGAUCUUGAGAUUAACAUGCUGCUCCCGUUUUAGUGGAUAGAACUCUACAUAUGGUUUUACUAAUUCAAGGCUCUUGCCUUCCCAUGCAAAUAGGUACUUGAUUGUUAUCGAUGAUAUAUGGGAUGUACAAACAUGGGAUUUGAUUAAAUAUGCUUUUCCGCACAAUAAUCUUGGAAGCAGAAUAAUGGCAACUACUUGUAUUUGUGAAGUUGCCAAAAAAGUUGGUGGUAUUUACAACAUGAAACCGCUCAGUGAUGAUAACUCCAAAAAAUUAUUCUCCACCAGAAUAUUCGGUGAGGAAGGUACCAGUCUUGAUAACCAAUUUGUUGAAGUAUCUGAUAAAAUUUUAAGGAAAUGUGGUGGUGUGCCAUUAUCCAUCAUUACAAUAGCCAGCUUGCUUGCUAGUAAACAGAGGGAGGAUUGGCCUAUGGUUUAUGAUUCUAUUGGUUUUGGGCAUGAAGACAAUGAAGUUGUUCAGAACACUAGAAAGAUAUUGUCCUUUAGCUAUUACUAGAUGACCCGUUGCGCCCAUGACGCAAAGGCCGAGAGCAAGCCAAUUAUUGAAAGAAUGUGCAUCAAAAUAUGUAGACACAUAAGAAACCAUAUGGAAAUAAAUACUGAUUGAUGAUAGAUAGAUGGUUGCUGAUGGUACAUGUUUUCUAAGAAGUUUACGAACUAUCAUUUACAAUGUUAUGAGCAAGGCAUGUAGAUAGACAGAGCUACAUUAGACAAAUGUAUCACGGGAUGUUUAGAACGAUUUCUUCGAGGCAAGUCUUUAUAGCUACUAUUCUUCAUGGCCCGAGGUGCACAUAUGCCUCACAUCCAAUGCAAACAUGGCGUUGUGUGCCGACCAUGCGAGGCAGCGGGCGUGGGACACCACGGCGGAUCCAUCGUCGAUCUCACAUCCAUCGGCAACAUGCAGACUCCACGCUUUGACAAGAGUAGUUCAUGGGAUACGUCAGCACCUCAAGUCCUCUGAGCUAUUGUGUGUCUGAUGUCCUGCUCUACCUCGCCGUUUACCGUACUUCCACUUCGAGGGGCACAACCAACCGUCGGACAUGGACACUACCGAAACAUUAAGGACGGUCACCGGUGGAAAUUUAGAAUAGUUUUAUCUUACAUGUAAUCGUAUGAAUUUGAUGAUUUGCAAAUGAGAUAUUAGAUUGCGGAAACAUUUUUUUGUUUGUUCACUAUCUGCAGACACAUCUGGAGACAUCCGCACGUUUGGGAAAGGAUUUUGAUACUUAUGGUUGUAGAUUCUCUUAUAUUAAGAUAAGUGGGAAUAAAUCUGACAAAACAAUACAGAUUAUACCAAUUACAUAAAGUACAAGUUAGCAUCAAAGAUAAUAUUACAACUGUGCCAUUGUGACAAGAGCCACACACUCUGGAGUCUGGACACCUAUAUACACGGGUUGCACAUAUGACAUAUAACGCCAGAGAUAACCAUGUGGUGGAUUGUUGUCCUUUUCCAUCGACCAGUUCAUCCUCUUCCUCUCCCCACUGUACUCGAGAAAGCACCUGCUAGAGGCGGCUCACGCUGGGCUCCUUCUUCGCGGCGGAUCAUGCUGCAGCUUGGCGGGGGAGUGGCUCCGGCUGCAGCUUAGAGGCGCUGCGGCUCCAACUGCAUCUCGGUGGUUCGGCAGCUCGGAGGCGCAGCAGCUCCAACUGCAUCUGGUGGUCCGGCAGAUCCAACUGCAUCUCGGCGGUUCGGCAGCUCCCGCUAUAGCUUGAAGCUGCGGAAUCGGCAGAUGGCGCCGCUGCCACUCGUAUCGGCGAGCCAAAUCCUCAUAGUUGUUGUUGUCGCUCCCUGCCGAAGGUGGCAUUUGUUCUGGCUGUGUGGCAGCCUGGCACUCCCUGAAGCUAGUUACUUUCCACGGCAAGGGAGGCUCCAGCAAACCCACGGCGGUCGCCGUUGCUGCUCAGGUAAAAACUAACCUCCUUCGGUGUUUGAUGAAUCUGUAGAAUUGUUGUGAUUCAAUUCCACUGUAGCACAAGGGGCACCAUGAUCUACUAUUUUGCCUAGGGUAGUGGCAUGGCAAAGUACAUCUUCAUUUUCUGAAAAAUAGAACAAGAUGCAGGGACUGAUCACUCGUAGAAGUAAACUCCAAAAGGAGAAGCUUAUAACUUCACUAAAUAACUAUACCAGAAGCAACAUUAUUGAUUACAUCCUCAUGGUUUCGUCAUUGACGUUGCUGAUGUGGUGCAUCGGCCCACAUCGGUGAACCAACGUCGGAGUUGAACUUGUUGAUGGACAAUGACGGAAUGCAUCCCCUGAAUGAAGUGAGCAUUUUCCUGUUUGUUUAUCUAGCCUCUCAUUCUUACCUUAGACAUACAAAUGAAAAAAGAGGUACUCCCUCCGUUCGAAAAAGUUUGUCUCAAGCUUGUCUCUCAAAUGGAUGUAUCUAGCACUAAUUUGAUGCUAGAUACAUUCAUUUGAGGGACAAGCUUUUUCGUACAGAGGGAGUAUGGGAGAAAGAGGGUGGAGACUAAAUAAAGAUAAACCAAGAUACCGAAUUAAUACAGAGUGAUAAUGAAAAUAGAAAACGAAAUGUGAAUAAAGAGAAACCAAAGACUCGUAAAACAGAGAGUAAGAACGAACAACGAGGACCUAGCACUACUAUGUUAAUAGGCAAGUCUCAAGAGUAGUGUUGAUACUUAGAUGAGUGAUGCAACGUUGGAGUACUAAUUAGUGGCUGGGACUGCUCCAACCAUCGAGCGGGGUAUAUUGUAUAUAAUACGUAGUUGAGUGAUCGCCUUUAGAUGUUUCAGAUGCUGAAGAGUAUUUUCCAAUGAACAUAUAUAUUAUGCUAUGCAUCCUGACAUAUGCACUUCCUUGGAAUUGUUGAUAUGUAUGUAUCAUUGCUAGCAGNNNNNNNNNNNNNNNNNNNNNNNNNNNNNNNNNNNNNNNNNNNNNNNNNNNNNNNNNNNNNNNNNNNNNNNNNNNNNNNNNNNNNNNNNNNNNNNNNNNNAAAAAAAAAGUACUUCUUUCCAUUGUACUGCCAUUCCCCAAGUACUAAAUUGCAAGUGAGGGCUCUGAAUUUUUCUCUACAAUCCAUUCCACAAAUAUCGAAUCGCAAGAGAGGGUCUGAACAAUCCUUUUCUUAACUGUUGCCCAGCUGGCCACCUCCGGCCAUGCUUCCUUCAUGGCUGGCUACAUCUUGUUUCUUAUCUCCAGACACUGCUUUCUAAUCCCUUCCUCAGUAUCUCUUUAUUCUCUUCCUCAUGCCAUCACCCACCUACAUUCUCUUUUCUCUGCUGAUGCUUUAAACAACUCUACUGGAGGUGUUCUUUCGCUUGCAUUUCCCUUCUAUCAAGCUGCCUUUCUUUCAGUUUGCCACCUCCUUGGUACUCUCCAAGUUCCCUCUGCUAAUGUAGGUUCUUCUCCUCUAGCUCCCUAUAUGACUGAUGACUCAAAACCCUUCCCCCAUUUGCGCAGAAGUUUUUUCCUACUCAAUCAUAGAUCAUAAUGUUGUCAUGUUAGGUGGUAGCAGAAUAAAAUACAUCCUCUUUCGUGCGUCAUGGAUUUUUUAUUUUAUUUUUUGCGGUUAUGGAUCUAUCAGGUCGCAGUGUAAUUUAUACAUUUUCCCCUGUUAAGUGACUGCUAACUGAUGAUACCUGAGCAUUUGUUCCAUUCUUCCUUUAUUUAUAUCGGUUUAUAGCUAUGCCAUUUCACAUUGCUGAUUAUUUUGGACUAAUAAUUGUGACAAUUUUUGAAGAGCAUGCCUUCGUGAAUUGUUGUACUACUAUUCAUCUUUUUGCUUGCAGUAAAAGUUAUUACAGUUUUAUGGACAAUUAGUAUAGUUUUAGGCCGUUUGCUUAAAAAUUAUCUCAGCAUAUCUCUCAUUGUCAGUCUAACUUGCAACAUGUAAUUGGCCAUUGUUUGGUCCAAACUCCAAACUAUAUAUGCAGCUAUGCUUUCUGGCAGUUUUGUUCUUCAAUUUGAUGACAGUAGAUGUUUAACACUUUAUUUUAAACACAUGAUCAAAAUGGCAUGACUAGAUUCAACAUGAUAACUGCUUUCAUCACGAAUUGCACUUUUACUAACAUAUUAUCAUUAAUAGUAAUCAAAGUGUUGUUUUUAAUGCUGCGCAAAGUUUAAAAAGAAGACCAUCUAUUUUGGACCGAAGGAAGUCUAUCUGUCAAUAAGAGAUGCAUGAUCCCUUACUCGACACUUCUACUGCAUGAAUUUGAUUAGGUUCAUCCAUAGUGACUAGCUAGCUUUUUGUGCAUUGUUAAUAAGAAUGCCUGUGAGAUGUUUCUGAUUUCCUACUGCAUGAACCCCUCGUAUGCCCACUGAUAUUAUGACCUCUAUUAGUAUCAGCUAAACCCAAUAACUGAUAUUCUAGCCUCUGUUUGUGAUGUUGGUUUCGUUUAAUAAUGCUGUCAUGAUUCAACUUUGACUAAUGUUAAUUGCUUGAGUCAUACAAAGUCGCAGAUAUAAGUUUGAUGGCUUUUCCAAGUAUGAAAAUUUGUUUGACUGAUGUCAUAAUUGCCCUGCAGGCACCGGAGUUACGUUUUGGUGGCUGAGAUGCAGAAGUGGCUUGUUUUGAUGCGAUGCACACAGAAAUUUACCCUUUAUGUAGGAUGCAGUGGUCAGCUGUGAAGUGGACUUGUAGGAAUUAAUCACUUAUUUUGCUCAAACCCGUCUUAUUAUCGAACGCAGUCCAUUGGCCAACUGACAUGAAGACAUGAGAUUUGCUUGUAUUAAUCAGUACCUUUCAGUUGAUCUUGCUUGCUUGCACUCCGUGUGUUCGUAUUUUCACAGUUUCUUGUGAUUGAUUUUCCAUGUUGCAUCUGGCGGGGAGAAUUCCGCGUCAAAUUUCUGCUUAUGUCCCAUUUUGUGUGUUUCUUUUUAUCUGGGUCUGACUAAUCAAAGUUGAGUUGCUUGCUUUCA